UUUUUUCAUCUAUGCGGUCAAAAAAUGAAUAAAUUAUGUAGGCAAAAAUUGGAUUAAACUAUCCAAUCAUAUGUAACUAAAAUCAAAAUUUUGUAUAAACAAUAAUUUUUUAUCUUAAAAAUAUUAUGUAUAUUUUCUCAAGCACACAACUAAUGGCAUUCCUUUUUACUAUAAUGUAACAAAAUCGUAUUAAACUAUAAUUUUUCGACAUUGAAAAUCUAGCUAAGCAUAUUUAGAUAAAUAAAGUACUUUUGAAUUUUAUGCUCACUUGAUCCAAUAUAUAUUUUCAAAGUAAAUGUGCAAGAUUUAUGAAAUAAUAUCAGUAUCUAGCCAAAGUUUUAUGAAAAUAAGAUAACAAUACAUAGAUAAUAAGGAAAAAAGUAACAAGUAUCAUAAAAGCAACAAUACCAAAUAUUUAAACACACCAACAUAAAGAGAACUUGGGGGGCUUCAGGCUUGGCCUCUUGAGGUGAGAGACAGAGAAAAGAGAGAGAAAGAGAUUAAGGAUUUAGGCUCUCUAAAGGAAAGAGUAGGAGAGAGUGUAAAUUUAGUGGGAUUUUGCUUUUUUGUUGGCCUGUUGGGUUUGUUUUUAUGGACCAGCAACAUUGGCCCAAUUUUAACUAAACUCAGGUUACUUACUUAGCCUACAGAUAAUUAAUAUAUGUAUAUAUAUAUAUAUAUAUAUAUAUAUAUAUAUAUAUAUAUAUAUAUAUAUAUAUAUACACACAUAUAUAUAUACACAUAUAUAUAUGUACACACAUAUAUAUAUACACAUACAUAUAUAUAUUCGAGCUUUUCGAGCCUAAUUCGAGCGAGCCGAGUAAUACUCAAGCUCUCUUUUUUUUUGUUCAAGCUCAGCUUAUUUAAUUUCGAGUCGAGCUCGAGUGAGCCAAAUAUUGAGCUGAAAGCGAGUCGAACGUGAGCUGACUCGCUCAUUUGCCAGUCCUACGUAUCGAUAUCCGAUACAUGUCCAAUAGGGGUAUGGCAUAAAAUUUGAAUUAUCUGUGCUUCAUAGUUUAUCACAUACUCGACAAUCAAAUUUAAUUGAUAGUCUUAUUACGUAAACAAGAGGAGAUAUGCUAGCAUAAGUUAUUUUCACAUCCAAGUAGGCCCUAUGAGUUUGUCAUUUCUUUCCUCUUUUUCAUUUUCCAUAGUUGUGAGUACUUUUUUUUGGCCAUUUUUCCAAUCUGUUCUUCGCUCUUAUGUGAGAUAUGGAUAGUUUGAUUUAUAUACUUAAUCCAAUAGGAUCAAUAGUGAUCGUUUAAAUGGUUCCAAGAGCUAUCCACGUAGGGGUGUAAACGAGCCGAACAUGAGCGAGCUGGGGCGGGCUCGUGUUCGACUCGUUUAAUAAACAAGCCGAAAACGAUCCUGCUCGUUAAACUAUCGAGCCGAAAAUUCGAGCAGCGAAAGCCGAGUUUGUCACGACUGAAGUAACGCAACAAUAAGUUAAUAAAAAAUAGAUAGAAUAUACAUAAAAAAUAAUUAUAAAAUCGUAUCAUUAGACUUUGAUCUAAUAUUGACAACUUUACUAUUAAAUGGGUCCUAUAAUUAAGUCGCCAUUUAUAUUUUUAUUUGCUUAAAAUUAAAUAUAAAUAAUAUUAUUAAUAUAAUUACUUGACUUAUAUUAUAAAAAUAAUAAAUAAAUUAUAUAAAUAUAAAAUAUAUAUAUUCGAGCUGUUAUCGAGCCGAAUACGAGCGAGCUGGCCCCAGCUUGUGUUUGGCUCGUUUAUUAAACGAGUCGAAAAAUUCAGCUCGUGUUCGGCUUGUUUACUAAACGAGCGAUUCGAUCUCGAGCUCAUUUCGAGCCGAACACGAGCUGGUUCGCGAACAGCGAGCUGGAUUGCCACCCCUAUAUCCACGUAGUAAAAUGACAUCCCAACAGUCUAGAUUGCUAUGGUUGUUUGGAAAAUUAUGAUGGAAACUUAGUUUCUUAGGAUCGUAAAGCACACUAGUUGUGGGUCGAUAAAAGUAUACCUAACACUUAGUAGUUCCUUGCUGAGAAAGACAAAGGCAAGUUGUGGGUGGAUGAAAGUAUACUUAACAUUUAAUAGUUCUUUUUUGGUAAAGAUGAAGAUAAAUAAGCCAUAACAUAUUUUUCAUAAGAUAGAUCAUAUAUGCUUCAAUUUGAUACGAAGAGGAAUUGAAGAAGAUGCAAGGACAAGGAUAAGACACGAAUAAUAAGGUCCAAAGACAAUAGCAGUUUCACUUUGACUAAUUUUGUAUGCAUGCAUAAUCUUUGCAUUUUCCUCUGACUGUAAAUAAAAAACACCAAUUUGUGCUUAAAAGAAGCUGUACAACAUUUAAACUCUUCUUAAUUUUCUUUGAUGCCAUAUAUGGAUGAAAAUUCAUCCAGAAGUCUGUUGUAAAUAGGAAUGUUUACUCCAAUUCAAAAUUGACUCAAUUUAGACUAGAUACAGCAUGUUGGCAAAUGAACUUGAAGCUAAGUGAACAUGUGAUGCAAGCCAUGCUUGCAUUGUUUCAAGUAAAGUUGGGUGUGGACACGUUAAGGCAUAUUGUGUUUUGUAUAAGUUGUAGGAAUUUAACAUUUUGAGUUGUAUCAAUUAUAGGAGAUUAUGUACUUAGUUGGAGCAAACAUUUUAGAGAGUUAAAGACUUUUAUAUGUAACUAUUUGUCUUCUUUAUAUAUGCAUAUGUAUGUAUGUUUGUAUGUAUUAUAUAUAUGUAUUUAUACAUGGCUAGGGCUACUAUACUUUUAUGAGUAUAGACCUCUUUGUACUCAUGAGCUUUAGGCCGUUGGAUGAAGGGAUGUGCGGUUAGGACGAUAAUGGUCCCCGGUUAGGAUGAUAGUGGUCCCCUAGGGUUGAGUAGGUGGUUGGUUGAAUAGUAUGUUCUAAUCGGUGGAAAUGAUCAAAGGGGUAGAUCUAACGGCCAAAAAUUUAGAGAGAGAGAGAGAGAGAGAGGCUGGUAUACUAUUGGUAGCACGGAGGCCUCCGUGCUACCAAGUUGUUUUCAAUGAUGCGGCUUUCAAAUCGAUGAUCGGCUCCGUUAGACUUGAUCUACACUAUUGAAAGUAUUUGGAAAUUAAAUUUCAUAAUUUUUCGACAUCAUUUGGCUUGUGAUCAAAAGGUCUCAAAAUUGACAAUUUUAAUGGUAGAUGUGAUGCGUUUGUGAAUUUAAUGGUGAAAAACAAUUCAAAUUUGAUGAAAUUUUUGUAGAAAUUUUUUUUACUAUUCAGAGUAAGAUUAGUACCUAUGAUCUUAAAUUCAAGUCUUUAAUCAUCAUUUUUUAUGAGAUUUUUAUCUUCAGCCGUUCAUUUUUAGACUAUUCGUUUGAUAGGUAAAUGAUGCCGAAAAAUUGUGAAAUUUAGUUUCCAAAUACUUUCAAUAGUGUAGAUCAAGUUUAACGGAGUCGAUUGUCAAUUUAGAAGCCGCAUCAUUGAAAAAAACUCGGUAGCACGGAGGCGUCCGUGCUACCGAUAGUAUACCAGCCUAGCUCCCUCUCUGUCUUUCUCUCUCUCUCUCUAUAUAUAUGUAUGUAUGUAUGUAGUAUGUAUAUAUAACCAACAUUGAUGAUCCUCCCCCCCUCUCUCACGCUUCGGGCCUAAUUUAAAAAGGGUUUGCCCUAAAAGGGCUCUCUUUUUCUUUUCAAAUCAGAGUUUGCAGAAAUCUAAGUAGGGCAUGAACAGAUCUGUCACAUAUACAGAGGAUUUUCUGUCCACGUGGACAGAGUCUUUCCUGUACAUGCAUGGUUUCAGGCUACGCAAGUCCAUUAACAACAACAAAACAUUCAACCCAAAAUAACAUUUGGUUUAUGAAGAUGAUAAACAGGAUGAAUUUUCACGUUAUUCCCCAUAAGCAUACAUCAAACAAAACCUUCAUUUUAAACACUCCUUAGUCCCCACAAGAAAAUAUUUGAAACUUCCGUUUUAUUAUAAGGUUUAUAAAUUAACACCUCAUAUGGCCGUUAAAAUCUUUGAUUUUGAGACCUCUUGAUCACUUGGUAAAUGAUUUUCAAAAUUCUUGAAUUUGGUAGAUAGAUACUUUAAGAUACUCUCUAUCAUGUUUCCUAAUGUGGAUCACUGAUUCAAAUGCUCUAUCAUCGAAAAUGAAACGGAAGCAUAAAAGCAUCGAUGAAAAGUAUAGUCUUACCCUCUAAAUUAGUUCACUUGCUGCACCUAAUGUGUAUUUUGCUAUUGUGAAGUGGUAAUAAGGUGCAUUACAGUAUUGCACCAGUUAUUUUAAUAAAAAAUACUUAAAAAAGUAAUUAGUUAUUGAGAAUUGUAAUGAUGCAAGACAUAGGCAUAUGAGAUGGGCCCCAUAAAUAUUCUUGAAAUAUAAAUGCUCCGCUAACUUAGUUGUCAAGUAUUCAAGUGUUAAAUCAGAGAGAGAGAGAAUUUCAAUAAACCUAAAGCACUAUAAUUGGCAGAUUUAUACUUGAUGGUUAUUUUUGAAUGCUGUCAUUUGAAUUCAUUUGCAGUAUGUCAUCUUUGCGUCACAUUAUCUCUUAUAAAGUCUGGCUAACUAAUGUGAUACAACUCAGGAUUCUUUCAUGCUUCAAGUUAAAUCCUUUUGAGCAUCUUAAGUUACCAUUUGAUUCAUCUCCUGAUGAAGUGAAGAAGCAAUACCGCAAGGUAAAAUUAGUACUUAGACUCUGAGCACAAGUUUCUAUAUCUCUAUGUUUUAUAGUAAUCUAGUCAGUGUCUGACCUUUACGUAACUUAAUUUAUAGUUGUCUUUGCUGGUUCACCCUGAUAAGUGCAAGCAUCCCCAAGCAAAGGAAGCCUUUGCAGGUAGGCCCCUGAAAGAUGAAUUUUAGUUCCUUGAAUAGCGAUAAAGCAUUCUGAUUUACUUUUCUUACAUCAGCUUUUUGUUUUGACAUAUUCUCUUUUCCUGAGAGAUUAAUUGUCAUGAAAAGAAAAACUAGAUCAUUGUUUUUUUAUCACACAUUAGCUAUUCCUGUUCCCAUGCUCUCUCCUUUUGAGUAAGUUUAUGAAGGAUAACGUUCAUAACUUAAUAAUAGAGUAACUUAAUAAUAGAGUAUGUAAUGCGGUCUGAAAUAUAGUACCUCAAAUAAAAGUGAUUUUGUUCUGUAAAUUAAAUGUUUUGAUGCAAUACUUACAAAAACUGAGAAGAAAAUAGAUAAACGGAGAAAAGAAAGAACCUAUUGGUGCACUCGGAGCCCUUGGGACUUCUUUUAUCUUCAAAAAUAUUCGAGUAAUAAUAAUUUUGAAGUCGUGACGAGUUACGGUUCAGCCUGGAUCAAUUCUAAUUUGAAAUCACCAUCAAUCGUCUUCUAACAAUGUUCAGACUGAGAAGAACAGCAGCAGAGACAGCAGCCAAUAAAUGGCAGCGAGAGGAAGGUGUAGAGGAGAAGAAAACCCAAUCUAGGGUAGCAGAGAAGAAAAUGGGAAGUGCCCAAUCCAGGAAAAGGAAGAAGGAGAAGAGAAGGGUCAAUCCAAAGACAAAAGAGAUGAGUUUGUCCAAAGCAGGACUGACACAUUAGGAGCGGAGAACCAACAAUAGGAAAAAAUAUCAUUCGUCAACAUCAAAAACCAGCAGGAGUUGUCAAUUUUUAUGAUAAAUCAACUUAAGUUCGACUAGGUAAUGUAGGCAAAAUGGCUCAGUAGUCAGGUUAUAAGUUUGACCGUCUAGGGUUUAAUAGAUUAUACAUAUGAAUUGGAACCCAAACCCAAACAUAAAUCCCCCUAUUAAUCAAAUUUGAACCAAAAGACCAAAUACAGAAGAAUUACACCUUAUUAGAAAGUAACCGAUUCGGUAAUUAAGGAUUAAACUCAAACAGAACUUGAACCGCUCCUAAAAAUCCAUUAGAAACCAGGAAUAUAAAGCCUUUUUUGGAUAGACAAUGUGAAUACUCCAUGAAGUCCUCUUUCUAUGGUUUUGACUUAUUUGAAGUUAAGAGACUCAGUAGAAUUUUUCAGGAAACUAUACUGGGAUUCCAUGGAAUCUUGUAGGAAACCAUGCUCUCUUUUAUGACUGUCUUGAUGUAAACUAUGAAGUCCUCUUUCCAUGGUUUUGACUUAUUUGAAGUUAAGAGACUCCGUAGAAUUUUUUAGGAAACUGUGCUGGGAUUCCAUAGAAUCUUGUAGGAAACCAUGCUCUAUUUUAUGACUGUCUCGAUGUAAACUGCUAAAUUUUAGAGGAAUCUUGUUAAAUUUGAAAAACUAGCCUUUAGAGAGCUCUAAAUUAAAAAAAGUAGUCUCUUGGGUGCUCCAAAUUUAGAAACUAGCCAUUUGAGUCUCUAAAUUCAAAAUGCAGCUUUUAGUGAGCUCAAAAUUUGAAAACUAGCCUUUUAAAUUUGAUUAGAUUAGUUGAGCAUAUCUUUUUGUUAGUUAAAUGAGGAUUUUUAGCGACCCUCUUAUUUGGUUUUUUCUGAAUUUAUUUUUAGAUUUUUAUUGCUUAGUUAGUUUCUAGAUAUUUUAAUUAGUUAUUUACGAUAAGAUCAAAUUCCAAGUUGGUUAUGUGUUGUCACGCUCCGGGGCCGAUUUUAAAAGCCUUUUUAAAAUUCAUUACCAUUUUGAAACAGAGUUGCGGAAGACGUGCUUUUUUUUUUUUUUUUUUUUUUUUUUUUUUUUUUAACCUGGCCCACAUGACGUACAGAUCCGCCACAAAUACAAAGUUCCUCUGUCCACUCGGACAGUCUUCUUUGUAUUUGCACGGCGUUCCAACUAUACAACAGGAUCUCAACCACAACCUACAUUUACCAAUUAACAACCAAUUCAUGAUAUGCAUUUCCAUACAGCUAACGAUCCUUAGAGAUGAUGCAUGCCUCUAAACACUCCUUAGGCGCUGGAUGAUGCAAUGCACAAUACAACAAACAUCCUAUUUAAAAGUGCGCCCCACACGGAAGCUUUUGUUUUUAAACUCUAAUUUAUUCAUUUAUGAAAACCAUUCGAAAACCUUUUUAAAACUGUUUCCCACACGGAAACUCUAUUUUGAAAAUCAACUAUUUCGAGGGGUAGAAAACCACGAUGCGUAAAUAUGUAUAAAUACACAAAUUCGAGAACUGAAUAUCCAUAAAACCAAAACUAGUGAUCCACAAAAUCUCUAAUCAUGCAUAACUGAAAUCACAAACAUUCAAACAUCUAACUGAACCAUUUAUUAUUAACAACUACUAAAUGCGGGAAGAAAUAUAACCAGGGUGACGGUCGCUACUGCCGACUAGCUAGAUCUUCCCCCCAUCGAGCCCAAAUACUAAUUCCUCGUUCAUGUCACCUAGGGGGAAUGGGGGGUGAGAAACCGCAACCAUGGUUUCCCAGUGGGUACGACAGAGCCACGAAGGCAAGCCGUAAUCACCAGAAACCAAAGGAGAUAGAACAACAUAUAUGAACAUGAUAUGAUAUAAGAGCAACUACAGUAGUAAUAGAAACAGGAUAAUAACUGAGUAAGAACAAAACUACUACUGUAACAAAAAACUCAACUGAUCGAAUGCCUCAAAGGUGGAUAGUCCAAACCAAACCCAAUCUGAUGCUGCUAUAUUGGUCCGCAGACCUCAAGCGUUGUCUGUCACAGAGCAGACACUGCCAACUAUUCAUGCGUCCACCGACGACCUGUCCGGAUACGUACACCCCUUGGUUGGUGGCCAAACCAACCUGGUGUCUAGAAUACACAGUGCUGUGACUAAAUCAUAUUGAUAUGCUCAAACGAAAACCGGCAAAAAGAGACCGGUGCCUUGGCUGAAGCCAGGUGCAAGGGCGUACAAUGCCGAGCCACGAUCAACCAGAUCGAAACACAUGACAAAGCAGUCAAUGUGUUGCCUGGAUCCAAGGUCCACAGAUAUACAGUAUAUAUAUGCAACCUGCUCUACAUGUCUAUCAACAACUAACAAAAUGCAACCAACAAAGUAAGAUAUACGAAUAAUAAUCAAAGCAAAGACAUGUAGAGACUACGAUACUGAUAUGAAAGAACAGAGGAAGGGUGAAACGAUCUCACCGACUACCAGCUCGAAGCACUCACCUGUCAUAAUCGCGUCGGAACACUGGGUAAGCACAAGUCAACCAGACCUACGAAAAUCCAACGGGUCAGUAACCAACCUACUCACUCGAAGCACGAGACUCACAAACCCCCCACACAAGUCCCCUGAUCGGUUUUCCCAAAACCGAUCGCCGUAACUCACCGGCAGUCCCGAAAACCACACCGGGACGCCGUCGGGACCCACUAAGUGUCCCGAAACUCACCGAUUCGUGUCACGAGUCACUUGUUGCCCCAAAACACUCCGAUUUGGAUGUUUUGGCAGCAAACAUAAGAUAACACCACUACACAAUUAUCGCCGGAUAAUUGUACGAAUCCGGGUUCCCGAAAGUGUCUAUUUCGACACCGAAACCCACCGUCGCUUACCCAUCAUCACCGAACCCACAAAAUGAUGAUGGUGACCAGCCAACAAGGCUCAGUGAUAAUUUACAGGAUAACCAAACCACGUCAGAAGAAAUCCAAACCGAAACUGCGUUCUUUCGGCGAAUUUCACUGAAAAACACACCGGAAUCGACUUUUCAAUUUCCGCGAAAGCUAUCGGAUCAUGGACAAUCAGUCUAGAGGUCACCACACACACAUAUGCACUGUCCACAGUAGCCACAAGGUGCACAAUUGCACAAAAUCCCCUAUAUUUACAUAAAAUCCCAUCAUUUUAUAUAAAUCGGGUGAUUAUGUAGCUCGUUCUUGCAAACCGAGGACUUCCAAGGUCCGUCGAGAUGCGUACUGAUAGGUCUCGACGUGCCGGAGGCCGUGCUCAUGGUCCGGAGCGCAACAUCUCACUGUGGGAAGCGCGGGAGCAACCCGAAGGUUCUGCGAACAGCGCGCAGUCGGGGAAAAUCGCUCCGAAUAGGCCGAUUUGACAUCCGCUGAUCCAAAAUAAAGUGAGCGCUGUGAUCAGCAUUGAUCAACGAUCACCGUGCUCACCUUUGGAGGCAUCGGAACAGCCUUGGAUCGCCGGAACAACGUACGCAGUCCAAAAACAGUAGCCAAAAAGGCUCGACAAGGUCGACACCGCCGAAACAGCGGAACGGGACCUUCCCAACAGAAACCAAGGUGAGCACGAUGAUCAGCAAUGAGUUACGAUCAUUGUGCUCCCUUCCGUAUUGAUCGGGAGGCCUCGGGAAGCUCAGAACAACAAACCCACUAAAAUAAGCCCUAUUUCGGGCUUCGCCGGAGCAAACUUGCUCCGGCCGGCUUUCGGCGGCACGGCGGCACGCGCGGGGGCCAGGGAUGGGUGCGGGGGAGGUGAGGAGUAUGGUGCUUACCUCGGUUGGCGGCUGAGAGUGGCCGGCGGCGGCGACGAUGGAGCAAACGGAGCCCGCACUAGCUAGGGCUCGGGUUCCAUGGGCAAUGGCGGCCACGGCGGCGGCCGUGGAGCUCCGGGACGGCGAAGGAGGGUUUCCGGAGGCCGGAGGGAUGCCUCGGGUGCGGCCUGGAAGGAAGCAGGGGGGACUGGACCGGCGCGCGGAGGGCCGGCGGCGGCUGGCUCGAGGCCGGCCGGUGUCGGAGGGAGUCGGCGAAAGGAGGGAAAAGGUAGAGAAACAAAAGGUGGAAAGAGAGGUGGUUGGACUGGGCUCGAAUCUUCUCCUAACUUGGAAGAAAGAGCCGGCGGAGGUGGGAAGGGGUUGGAGUCCGUCAGCCGGCGGCGGCGGGCGCUCGGUGGGUCUCGGGGUGGCGACGACGAGGACGUUGGACGUUUGUCGAUCCGGCUCGGAUCCGGCUCUAUCGGGUCGAGGGAGGGGAGCGUGGCGGCGGUGGCCUCCGGAGAGGGCGGCGGCAGGGGCCUCGGAGCCGCUGGAAGGGGAGGCCAGCGGCGGCGCCCGACGGCGGCGACGCCCGACGGCGGCGGCGGCGGAGCCGGUCAGCAUCGGCGGGAUCUGGGCGAGCCCGGCUCCGUUCGAGCGCUGAGGAAGGGACGCGGUGGUGGCGAGCUNGGCGGCGGCCGACUGCCUGAGGUUGGGGAAGGGUGGAGGCGGCCGAGAAAGAAGGUUCAAUCCUCUCCUAAGCUCGGGUCAGGUUGGUGGAGAGAAAGGUGGAAAACAAAGAGAUGGAAAAGGGAGGAAAGCGGCUGAGGGAGGCUGUGGCCGGCCGGAGCUCGGUCGGCGGCGGCCGGGAGGCGCGCGGCCAGGUCAGGGGGGACGAAGGAAGGUGGCUAGGGGGGUAGGUCGGGGUAGGGAUAGGGUUUCCAAGGUGAAACCCUAGAAGACCUUAAAUACACAUAGCUCCACUUUGCGGAAAAACCCAUCAAAACUCAAUAUUUUAUUUUGAGUCCCUCACAUCGCGAGUAAAACGCGCGAAAGCACCUCCACAUCCGGUUUCACGCGAAAAGGUACAUAAAAUGUCGCAACUUUUGCAAAAUUACCGUUUUGCCAUCACCGACCUCUCCUCGAACAACGCGCAAUAUCCCCAGAUCCGUCCGUCAGAUUUGCGAACGGAUCGCACCAGUGCGAUCAGCAUGACGGAGACAACAAAGCUACAAAUUUGGUUCACCUCGAUCGACCACGGAUUCGCGACGAAAUCCGUUUUCUCUCUCCAACAGAAGAAACUACGCACAAAUACAUAUAAAAAAUGUAUUUUCCAAUUUUCUCGAAAUCCGUGCGUCAAACUAAAAAUCCGUCAACGCCAAUAGUUCCAGAAUAGCUAAACCGUUCGAAACGAGCUAUUGGACUGCUAUGAACGGAGUCCGAUACGCGCCAGAAGCCAAUUUCGCACCGUGGCUUAUCCGGAAAACCGAGUUACUAUUCACUUUAAGUGAAAUUUGGAGAUCGCGUAAAAUCUCCGUUCUAACUCAUUUUUUCCCGAAACUUGACGAGUGCUUUUGUAAUUAAAUUACACACAAAAAUAUCGUCAACAGAGAAUCUAACUAUACAGUCAAAUUCUCAGUCCUUACAUGUGUAUUUAAAGUUAAGGAUACUCUAAAUGAGCUAUAGAUCUUUAUUAUAUGGCAGGAUUAUAUUAACAAAUUAAUAAAAGAUGUUUUGGAGCAAUUCUUUUCCUUCGCGAAUGCGUCGCCUUGGAAUGAGUCCAGUCCUAGAGCUAGUUCGGGUCAAGAGGUAGUCCUAAUUAUCUUUUCUAUUUUGUUGAAUUUUGAAUUUUCUAUUUUUCUCUAAUUUUCAUAAUUUUUUUUUUAAUUAUGAAAAUUUCUAAAAAAAUAAAAAAAUUCAAAAAAUAGUUCAAAAUUUCCAAAAUUUCAAAAAAGCUUUCAAAAUUAUAAAUCAUAUUUUAAAGUCCUUUAAAAAGUAGGACCCUAUUAUCCUGUUUUACGUCAAGUUGUGUGGAGUUCUUGUAGAAUUCGUGUAGUCUUUCGGGUAAUAGUUGUGCAAAACAUUUUAGAAUUUGUGCACUACCGCGCAUAACUCGUGUAACUGCGUAGCAUCACAUAUAGUUAUUUGGGAUACCAGUUUUUUUUCACUUUUUCUUUAGAAGUCAUUUAGAGUUCUGUGUAAGCAAUUAGGAUAUAUGUUACUUUUUGUUGGGACUGGGUUUUUUUGCAUAGUUUCUAAGGUGGUCUUGAGCCUUUUUGCUCUUUUGGAUAGUUCUCUCUGUAGUAUUUCAAAAUACUCUAUAUGUAUCACUAUUUGAAAUGAAAGGAAGAUGUUGAUUUGAUUUCUACUUUCUUUUAAGGAGUUACUUGUACUAGUGUAGUGACCCGCGCGAUGCAGCGGAAAAAAAAAUAUUUUAAUAAAAAUUUACAAAAUAAAUAAAUAAAUAAAAAUGUAAAUAAGAAAAAAAUAUAUAACCAUAUUUGAUUAGACUUAAUAAUAUGAAAAACACAUUAAAAAAUAUUUAAAAUGGAAUCACAACUCAACNNNNNNNNGGUAGUCCAGCUUGUGCCGCCUAAGUGCCUGUGGUAGCCCAACAUCCCUACUCUCGGAAUGUGUCUGUCCCACUCGACCCCGUAGGCUUCUCAAUAUCGCACGAGCAAACAUAAGUCGCGUAGGCUAACUCCGGAGUGCCGGCUUGUAGGGAGUGACCCUCACAAGCAUGUGCGAAUGAGGACAAAUGGCAAGCAAGCAUAGUCCAAGUCUCAAAUAUCCAAUCCUCAUGUCUCUAACAUGGUAUGGUCACUAGCAUCCCGAAGAUCUAAUUUAAGUCACAAUGUGAAGUUUCAACAUUUGCUACGCCUAGUGCCCCUUGAUGACACUUAGGCAAUUUGAUGUUCGACAUGUAUUCCAAAUCCCUCAAUGGCCCUAUCCGCUAGGUUCUCACAUGUCCCGAGCUCAAUGCCGCUUAAUGACAUUAGCUCUCUAGUUCACAUACCUUCAUGUCACAAGUAAACUCAAGUUUAAAUGCAUGAAUCCGAACUCAUUUAUACUAUAGAAGUAUGAAACCAAGUCUCAUAAAGAAUGCUAAAUGCAACCAAAGAUCUCCCAAGCAACUCUCUACUACAUAGAGGUCCAAAAUUUUAUCAUAUAUAACAUAUGUAUUUUAAGCAUUUUAAAAAUUAUAAUAAAUACAUUUAGUAUGAACAUGCAUGUUUUUUCAAUUCACGGAACAUAUGUAACCAUAUAUGAGAAUUUCUCAUAUGUAGGCUUGGUCAAACCCACCGAACCGUCGCGUAGCGCCUCGUUUCGCCGAACAAAGUUGUCCCCGAGUCUCGAAAUACCCUAGAAGUAUUGAGCGAAGAGAUACACGGGCAUUACGAUCAAUCUAUAAGUUCGAACAUUAACCUAGAAGCAAAAAGAGUCAAAACUCACCUCAAGAGUAGAAAAUCUCUCUCAAGCUCCAAAAGAGAGAUAGAACCCUUCCAAUCCAAGCUCAAGGAAGGUUCUAAUCCAAUCAAUCUAGCCUCAAAAGCCCUAGAUCAAAAAACCCCAAAAUCAACCCUAAAUCUCAUUUCUAGGGUUCCAAAAGGCAAAAUCUACCAAAACAAGAAUCAAAGGGUAGAAUCAAAGUACCAACCUCUUUAGAUGCCUCAAAACAAGCUCCAAAUCUUCUAAGGUUGAAGAUUGGUCUACCACCAAGCCCUACAAGCAAGCUCAAAGCCUUGCAAGGAUGGAAAGGAAAGAAAGGGGGGGGGGGUUGAGCUCCAAGCUCCCUCAAGCAAACUCCUCUUCUUCUCCUCCUCCUUCUUCUUCUUCUCUCUCUAGAAGGUGUAGGGAGAGGGUGUGAGGAGAGAAAUGAGAAAGGGAGAGGGUGGUGUGGCCAUAUAAGCCAUCUAGAGUAACAAAAUCCUAAGAGGCCCCUCAAAAACCCAAUAUUGCAUCAGCCCAGUCUGGGCAGUUUUCGCCCAGAGGGACCGGUCUCUCCCCAGCAGGGACCGGUCUCUCGCUGCGAACCCGAAAAACCAACGUUCGGGAACCGGUCUCUCCCUGCAUGGGACCGGUCUCUCUCUGCGAAGGCGCGCUCGGGGACCGGUCUCGCCCGCCAGGGAUCGGUUGCCUCAGGGCUGCCGCAACACUGCUCACUGGGGGACCGGUCUCUCCUUCCAAGGACCGGUCCCCGAGAGUAAAAACUCUCAGGACUUGUCCAGAAUUCUAGUUUUCGAACUUUUUAGGUCGGAAAACAUUCUACAACCCUCCACCAAGUGCGGAAAAGCUCGUAAUACAUCCAAACACUCGAACCUCGCAAUUUGCAAAGGCCCAGUGUGUUACAUCAAAUGUUGAUCGAAGAGGGUCUUCUUGUGUGGGGGGGUGAAAGGCGAGGGAGUCCGCGGUGGAGCGAAGGCGGGCGAUGUAGGUGGCAUAGGUGCUGCUUAGGUAGGGUGAGGGAGAGAAAAAAAGAUGCCUAUGCGACUUUCUAAAUGAUAAUUUACCAUUUGAUUUAUCUUACUAUUCCCUUUUUUUUCUCAACUAUUUCUCUUCCCAUCAAUUUCUCUUAUUCAUUUGUUAUUAAUUCUCCAUAUUAAUCACCCCAAUUAAAGUUCAAAAUUUAAUUUUAGAUAACGGGUGACCUUCUAAAUUAUCAAUUAGCAAUAUGAUUUAUGAAUGUGUAACUUAAUUAAUGUGUUUUUUCCUUUUUUAGCAAUGUUUAAUUAGCAAUUGUUCUCAUUUAUAUCUAAAAAUAAAAGUAAGAGAUAUGAUAAGAGAAGGCGUAGGAAGAAGAAACAUUUCACAUUAAUUAAAAAAUAAUGAGCCCCACUACUCACAAAUUAAGAUAAUUUUUAAAUAUAACGUAAGAGAGAUGAAAAGAGAAACCGUAGGAAGAGUAAGAAACAUUGUGGAUUCAUUAUGUUUGGUUCGGUUCAAAGUGGAUUAUUAUUUUUUAGAGAAUUGAUUUGGCUCAAAGUGGGUUUUUAUUUUCUAUCUAUUAACCUAAGAAUGAAGGGUUUCUUGCCACGUGGCAAGAAACAUUGUGGAUUCAUUAUGUUUAAUAGAUAUCUUGUUCCUGUCCCUUUGGUGGAUUCCUAGUGGGAAAAGAGUUGCUUGGUUGUUGCGUUGGUGGAUUCCGCAUGGUGGGAAGCGAUGUUUGAAAAGGCGCGAGGUGCAAAAAGGCUCAGGACUCUCCUGGAGCCUAAGCGCGAGGCGCAUUGUGAGGUGCGCGCCUCAAGAAGGCGAGGCACACAUUUACUAAGACUAAUUUAAUUUGAUGUUCUACAUUAAAAGACCACAAAAUAACCAUACAAAAAUAAAAUAACUAUCAAAAAGUAAAAAAAAACACAUGCGUAUAGGUUCUCAAAUUAACAAAAAAUUUCAACUUCCAACUUAAAACUUAAAAGUUAAAAGUGAUUGUGGUGUGUUUUCAUUUGGUCGUUCUUCAAGUGUCAUCCUCAUCCUCAUCCUUAUUCUCUUCGCUUGCAUCGCCAUAAUCUUCUUCUUCUUCUUCAGAUUGUUCAUCUCCAGUAUCCUCUUCUUCUUCUGUAUCUUCAAAAUCAACCCAAUCUGACUCUUCAUCGAUGGAUAAAGACAAUCGAGAUGAUGACAACUUAUCCUUUCCUUUUUUUAAUUCUCUUUGGCUGCGUUUGGUUCAGGUAUAAGUAAGAACUGCUUGUUCUAGGGAUAGGUACAAGUUCUUGUAUAAGCAGGAACUAGACCAAUUUUGCGUUUGGAUAAAAAUUGAGUUGUUCCUAGGAAUAAAGUAAUUAGCGUUUGGAUGGUUAAAUUGGAACAAGAGGAAUAAAAGUUAUAAUUUGAAAUUAAAAUUAUAUUAUCUAAUUAAUUAACAUCAAAAUAUUACUUAAAAAUAAAUAAUAAAUAAAUUAUUAAUAAAUAAUUAUAAAUAAUAAUAAUUAUUAAUAAUUAUUUAUAAAUAAUAAUAGUUAUUAAUAAUUACCAAUAAUUAUUUAUAAGUAAUAAAUUAAUUAAUAAUAAUGAUCUAAUUAUUAAUAAUUAAUUAUAAAUCAUUAUUAAUAAAUAAUAAUAAUUAUUUAAUUAUUAAUUAUUAAUAAUAAAUUACUAAUAAUAUCGAUUAUCUAAUUAAUAAGAAUAAUUAUUUUAUUAUUAAUUAUUAUUUAAAUAAUAAUAUUAAUAAUUAAUUAUAAGUAAUAAAUUAAUUAAUAAUAAUUAUCUAAUUAUUAAUAAUUAAUUAUAAAUAAUAAAUUAAUAAUAAUAUCGAUUAUCUAUUUCUUAAGAAUAAUAAUUAUUAAUAAUUAUUAUUUAAUUAAUAAUUAUUAAUAAAUAAUAAUUAUUAAAUUAGUAAUUAUUAUUAUCUAAUUAUAAAUAAUUAAUUUUAAUUAAUUAAUUAUUUAUUUAUUUUAUUAUUUAAGCAAUAGAUAAUGAUUUAAAUAUAUUAAUUAGAUUAAUUAAUAAUUUACUAUCAUUAAAAUUUAAAUUUAUACUUUAAUUAACCUUGUUCUCAUCCUGGAACAAGCUUGUUCCAGGAAAAAGGUGGAACAGCAGUUCCAGCCAAUUCCAGCCUUAUACCGGCUAGUUUCAGAAACCUGGGAACUACUGUUCUCGGGUACCAAACGCUGCUUUUGGGAACAAAAGGGGGAACAAGAGCUUAUUCUCCCCCUUGUUCCCGAACCAAACGCUAUCUUUACUUUUUCUCUUUCCUUUCCCUUUUCAAUUCCUUUUCAUUUUCAAGGCCUUUUCAUUGACACUGUAAAUCGUGUAUGAUGGCUAGGCUCAUUAACCCCAGCAGCUCUAGCCACAUCACCCCACGUCAAAGUAUUAUCUUCCCAAACAAGUUCUUUCUCAUUAUCGCUCUCUCCAUCACUGUCCAUUAUUCCAGUCAGCCAUUCAUUGCUAUCAUCAACAUCAUUUAGUAUGAUGGGAUCAAUGGUAUCACGCAAAUUAUACCGACGCAUGAGUGCUCCAUUAUAUUUAACAUAUACCAAAUCAUUCAAGCGUUGCUGCGCAAGCCUGUCUCUUUUUUUGCUAUGAAGCUACAAAAAAAUGAAAUCAAUGAAUAAGCAUAUUAUUAUUAAAUUUAUAUUGCAGUAUUAGAAAGUAAAUCAUAUGAACUUAGCUUCCUAUGCAUUCAUUUUACAAUUUAACGUGUUCAAACACACUCCAAUUUCGUUCACACCCAGAUGGACUACAAGUGAGACUAAGAAUUCGAAUAGCAAAUUUUUGUAAGUUCGGUGUAGAAGAUCCAUACGAUCUCCACCACUCAGCUGUUGACAUAGAAUGAAACAAUAAAUUAAUUAUUAAAGUUUGCUUUUUGUAAUUCUAUUAGAAUUUAGAAAUCAAGAAUUAAGAAAACUAAUAAUAUGCAAGUGAUAGAAUACCAGCAGGUGACUUUGAAUUUCUAUCUCGGAUUGCUAAGUCAUGUCCAAAGAGGUUGCAUGCUCUACGAUAUACGCUUAAUUGGUCACUUAUUUUAUCUUGUUCCUCAAUACUUGGAACUAAUCGUUGCAGUGUCGUUAUAGUUCGGACAUAACUUCUUCAUCUUGCUCAAUAUUAAGAUUUGAGUAAAUACACGGGAUUCAAAUAAAACCAGCAGCAUGCAAUGGGCGAUAGAGUUGACAUUCCUACCUCUUAUCAAUUAUUUUGAAAACUUCAUUAUAUUUAUCCUCCUUUUCAUUGAAUGAUUUUGCGAGGCUUCCUUUCCUCUAUCCAUGGCCUCAUAGAUGUAUCCCAUUGAAUGUCGCUUCUCACCAUCUACUAAUCUUAGAACACGAACAAAUGGACUGAAAACUUUAAGGAUAUAUAUUAUGUUGGUCCAAAACGUGGGCAUCAUUACUAUGGUAGUAAUUCUCUUGCCCGAUUGUUGUUUUGCCCACUUGCUCUUGGUCCAAUCUUCAGAUGUAAACAUUUUCCUCAACUUACUUUUCUGAUGGUUGUAGGCGUUGAAGGGUGAGAAAAGCAGUGGCAAAUCUUGUUAUGCUAGGCCUAAGCAACUCCCUUUGGCUCGUGAAAUGUCUCAUCAUAUUCACCACACCUAUGCUAUUAUAAAUAUAGCUAUUCAAAGUCACGGCUCUUUGUAUUGUUCUUUGUACUAUCGGCAUCUUUCCAAUAUCCUCGAGCAUCAAAUCAAUGCAAUGGGCAGCACAUGGAGUCCAAAACAAAUUUAGUCGCACAUGGAGUCCAAAACAAAUUUAGUCUCUUGCUUCUAACAAUCUCCCUGAAAAAAUUGAAUGAAAGAAAGAAUAUUGCUAUUAGUUAUGUAAAUAUUACACACAAAGUAUUCGAAAAAAGUUAAAAAUUAAAAGAGAGAAAUCUUACCAGCUACUACAUUAGCUGAUUCAUUAUCCAUAACAACUUGAACAAUAUUUACUUCCCCAAUAACCUCUAUCAUAUUAUCCAAUAAUUCAGACAUUCUUUCUCCAUUUUUAACAUAAUUAGAAGCAUCAAAAGAUCCAAGAAACACCGUACCCAUCGGAGAGUUCAAAAGAAAAUUUAUUAAGGGUCUUUCUCUCCUAUCCUUCCAUGCAUUUGACAUUAAAGAGAAACUAGUCUCGCCUAUUCCUCUUCAUGAGACUUCAAAGCAUUUCUUGUCCUCUCAACCUCUGUCUUCAAAAAAAGAACUCGUAACUCAUAAGCAGACGGUGGUUUCAUUCCACAACCAUAUUGCCCAAUGGACUCAAUUGCUACUUGAUAACUAUCAUAAUUAAUGGCGUUAAAAGGUAUCCCAGUGUCAUACAUCCAUCGGGCAAAGUCUCUACAAGAUUUCUCUCUCAACUCUUUUUUACAUGCAUUAUUUAUUGUGGUUUGCUUUAGCUUUCCUUCCUUUCUUUUUUGAACCACCUUCUCCGCGUCACGAGCGAAAUAUACAUCUAUGUGACUACAUUUUUUAGCUAUUGACUUACUACUUCCAAUACUCCCACUACUUCAACGUCUUUUUCCAAGAGAUUUAAAUUCUUCAGUAUCAUCUUCAUCCUCCUCAUCACCUAAGCCCUCCACUUCAUCAAAAUCAGCCAUCAAAGGAUUUCUCUCCUUUGUCGCAUCUUUCUUAACCAUAAACUCCUUAAUUUCCUCACGGAUAUGAGGCGGACAUCUAGGGCAUCCUUUUGCAUUUCGAAAGCCACCGAUAAUAUGUUGUUUGGCUUAUAAAUGCCUUCUCUUGUUAUUUUUUCACAAAAAUUACAUAUAGGAUCCUUUAAACAUGCAUAUUUCUAUGCAGUAUCCUUUUUGUAUCCUUCAUGAUCCAUUCAAUCAAUCUACAAUAAACCAACAACGAAAUACAUAACAAUAAAUCAACAAAUAUGCAAUCGAAACAAAAAAAAAACAUUUGGAAACAAAGAAAAAAUCUCACAAAUACAUCAAAUGCUUUAUAUAAUAACUACAAACAGGUUCAAAAGAAAAAACUGGAUUGAGAAAUACGUAAUUGAAACAAAAAAAGUAAAAACAUAUGGGAAAAAAAAGAAAAAUCUCACAAAUACAUCAAAUCCUAUAAAAAUAACUAAAAACAUGUUCAAAAGAAAGGCACUGGAUCAACAAAUAUGCAAUCGAAACAAAAAAAUAAAAACAUAUGGAAAAAAAGAGAAAAAAAUCUCACAAAUCCAUCAAAUCCUGAAAAAAAAAAAAACUAAAAAACAAAUUCAAAAGAAAAAUAUUGGAGUAUAGAGGCAAUACUUGACUGCUGCUGGUUCUUGCCUUCUUGCUCCCGCUGCUCCCGUUUCUCCCGUUUCUGUUACCACUGCAAGUUAAAAACUGAUACUGCUCUUGCUUUCUUUGUCACACCCCGGGGUCCCUUUAUGAUUUAAUUCUAAUGCGGAAGUGCCCAAGUUUUUUUUUUUUUUUUUGAAAACCUUGACCCCAGGGGAUGUCNGAAAACCUUGACCCCAGGGUGUCACGCCCCGAGACCGCUACCAAUUUGGUCCGGUUCGGGCGCGUCGAACAGGCGCCGGACGGACAGCACCUCCUCUGUCCGCCCAAGGCUCGACAACAAAUCAUGUACAUAGAAUUGCCCAGGAAUAAUUCAAUUACAUACAUGAUAAGCACGGAGCACCACAAGUGCUAACAAGUAAGAGCAAGAUACAAGUAUACAAUACAAGUGAAUAAAGAGAGAUAGAGCUAACUAUUACAUCCAUUCAACCAUUCAUUUACAUCAAGUUUAUAUUUGUCACUUCCAAAAUGAAUAUUUACAAUAUUCAUCCAAAAUACAUAAGCAACUCCCUCAAAAUACAUUACAACUCUCGGGUACAUCGGUACUCUAAUGCAUAGGGUAGCUGCUACUAAGCUAGGGCGCGAUGCCCUUACCACAGUCCUCGCCGGGAGCACUCGAACUCGGCCCCGCAACAAAGUGGGGUGAGAACUAUUGUCCAUAGUUUCCAGUAGGUUCGGCCGCCGACACCGCCGAUCUUCCCACUAGGUCUAAGCAGGCAUAAGCAGAUAGAUAGAUAGAUAUCUGAAAGUAAAGCUGAUGCAUAUUAAAAGAAUUGCACUAUUCUACUAUGCCUUGAAAUUCGGGAAUGAACAAGAUAGCCAUGCAAUUACUAACAUGCUAUAGUACCAACAUCAAGUAUGGAUGCAACUCUACUAGCUCAAUAUGCCCAAUGCACAUAAUUCUCAUGAGUUUAUUACCAAUCCUCUGGCUGGCCCAUAGGCACGCUCUCGACUCACAUCUCAAAUUCGGUUAUGAUGGGGGACUCAAACCACCCGAAGGAUCGUCUGCGGGACCCUAAAUAGGCUAUCCCUUGGGACCCCAAAUAGGCUAUCCCAAUCAUCCACGUGCCAAACUCCGGAGCACACUACUUGUGCGGAGCGACUGCCACAAGCGCUGAACAGACUAUGUGAGAAUGAUCUAAUCCUCGUCACAGAGGAUACCCUGUCGCUAGGGUCAUCACUAUCGCACCGAUCUCAUGCAAGGUCAAGCAGGGAGACUUGUCUAUCCCCUAAGUCAUCAUGUCACUAGUGUUCUUUUAACACUAAGUUCUAAUGCCACUCGUCAAGUUGUUUACUUGGUUCACAUGCCACUUGUCAUGAUGCAAUGCCUCGACUAUACUAGUCAUAUAUCAUCAAUGCAAGAUCAAGUUAUUAUUUAACUUAUCUCUAUAGGGUUCUAUGUCACAAAGCUCAUCCUCAUGCACCCUAUCUCACGUGCCAAGCCUACUAUGCCGCACUACAAAGGGAACACGCAAGAAUAGUAAUUGCAACAUCUAAACAUCCUAUCAUGCAUGAAGUAUACAUAUAGAAUACGAUCAACAUAGAGAUACUUAGACAUAGGGAGGAGCCCAGUUGCUUCGGGAUGACACCCCGCACCUCUUGGUAACAUAGCGAGGCUAGGUACUCAACUUCGCGAUCCUUGGUCGCCGGUUCAACUCUUCGGGUCAACACGAAGCCUCAAACACUCGUUUCGGCAAUAUCUUUGUACCGGCUCGACGAAUCGACGAGCCGACCUUUCCAACGCGUUUAAACACCUAGCAAUUAGGUUAACACAUGAUCAAUUUAGAUCAAAACCCUCUAUUUCCAAAAACCCCAAUUUGGAGCCCUAAGUUUCAACUAAUGCAAGAAUCCCAUCUCAAAUCCCUAGAUUCAAGCAUAAACCUUUUAUUUGGCAAGCUAGGGUUCCAACAAAACUAAUUCUAGAAGAUAAAAAUCCAUCUAGAGGGAUUUACCAUGAAAGUUCUCAAAGCUUACCUCAAGAAACUUGCUCCAAUAGUGGAGAGGAAGAAGAGGAAGAUGCCAAUCCUUCUCCUUGCUUGCUCCUCCACCAAAAUCUCCUCCUUCUUCACCUUCUAGAGAGAGAGAAAGGAGUUUAGAGAGAGAGAGAGGGAGUUAGGGGUGAGGUUGGGAGAGAAAUGAGAAGAAGAGGGCUCAUUUCCCCUCUAUACCCUUUCACAAGUGCACAUUUGCACAAAACACCCCUCACUUUCCAACUUACACACUGCCCUAGCCUGGGCAGUUUCGGGCUACGCGGACCGGUCUGUCCCUGGAGGGACCGGUCCCCGAGAGCAACUUUUGCGGGCAGAGCUUCUCUGCCAAUUUCUACGCGUACGGGGACCGGUCUGUCCCGCUAGGGACCGGUCCCUGAGAGCAAAUAUUGUGCGCAGAGUUUUCUCUGCCGCACCCCUGCUUACGGGAACCGGUCCCUCACACCAAGGACCGAUCCUGCUUCGCUCUCCGAGGCCCUCCUCGAUGCACUUUUUGGGUUUUUGACGCCUUCGGCCUUUCCGAAGCGUACCUAAUCGACAAUCAGUCGAUUCUAAACGAAGUUCAACUCUCGCAUUUCGAGAAUUCACUUACACAGGGUAUGCCAGAUUUGUCACAAAUACCGAGAGUCCACUGUUCACACGGAUAGAGUUUUUCCUGUAUUUGUAUGGCGUCGCACAAGUACAAAGUACAACCACAACAGUAUGAACAUUCACAUUCACAUUCGUUUCAUAACAGAUAUACGUAAAUCCACAUCUAUUAGUUUAAAAUGUUUCCUACUCGGAAACUCGUUUUGAAACACUAACAAUAAUGAAACCACGAAAAACCUUUUUAAAACCGUUUCCCAUACGGAAAUCUUUUUCUUUCAAAACACGCUACCACGAGGGGUAGAAAACUAUUUUCAUCUCAAGAGAAAUUCAUAAAUCCUUUAUUACAACCACAAAAUUAUUUUUGUCCAAUUUAAGCAAACUACUGAAUGAGAAUAAACAAGCUGAUGAGGGCGAGGGGUGGGGGGUGAGAACAUGUUCACAUGUCUCCCCUCCCAAUGGGUAUCGCAAGCUGAUGAGGGCGAGGGGAACUCACUAGUCAAGGAGAAUAAACAAAGGUAUGGGUAAAGAUAAUACAGUAGCAAUAAUAAAUAAAGGAACGAGAUGUAUAUAUCAAUAACUACCGCUACUGUAUGUAUGCAUCAACCUGACGAUAAGUCGAAAAAUACUCAAUCUGAAACCCGCCAUAUUGGUUCGUAGACCUCAGGCUUGUGCCACUGUCACUCUACCUGCAUAUAACGCAGCCUAGGCCGCUGGGCUCAUGGGUUUGCAUGUCCAACCACUUUUGUCACGCCCCGGGGUCCCUUUUAGUUUGAAACACAGCGGAAAAGGGUCUAGUUUUUUUUUUUUUUUUUUUUUUUUUUUUACCCCAGGGUAUGCCAGAUCCGCCACAAAUAUAGGGAUUCCACUGUUCACACGGACAGAGUCUUCCCUGUAUUUGCACGGCGUCGCACAAGUACAAGAGUACAAACAUAAUACAACCACAACUAAAUGAACAUACAAAACAUCCAACAGUUUUAUAUUCAUACACCAUUCACCACAGGUUCAUUCACAUAGUCUUAAUCAUGAAUCCACAUCUAUCAGUUAAAAUGAUUCUUACCCGGAAACUGGUUUUGAAAAACUAAGUUACAAAAACCACGAGAAAGCUGUUUGAAAGCCGUUAUUCAUAAGGAAACUCUUUUCUUUUAAAACACGCUACCACGAGGGGUAGAAAAUCUUUCCAUUUUAUGAAAAUCCAGAAAUCAUUGUCUCAUUCGGAAAACCAACUGAAAUCUUGAAUAUUUUAACAUAAUGAAAUACUGAACCAUAUAAACCGACUAAGCUAUAUAUCAAUAGAAAUAAUAAGGGCAAAAACUAAACCGAAUAACCUGGGUCGGAAGCUCUAUCGACCGCUAUGAACGUACCUCACGUCUCGUCUCAACCUCAUCGCCCGCAAUACCUGAAAAAUGGUGGGGGAGGUGAGAACAUAUAAACAUGUCUCCCCUUCCAGUGGGUACCGCAAGCCGAUGAAGGCGAGGAGUACUCACCGGAUCAGGAAGAGAUAAACAACAAUAUGGGUAAGUGUAAUACUAAAUACAGUAACAACAAUAAUGAACGAAAGAGAUAGAACUAUAAAUGAAAGCACAACUACCGCUACUGUAAUGAACAACUGAAAGUAUACAUGCAGCUAAACUAUAGUAGCAAGACAAGUGUAAAGAAAGAACUGAAGGUAUACAAACAACAACCGCUACUAUAGCUAUAUGCAAUCGGUCAAGAAGUCCAAAUAUAUCCAAUCUGAUAUCUGCUGCUUUAUUGGUCCGCACCGCAAACCACAAGCCUAUGCCACUACUACUCUCCAAUGUAUAUAACCCCUCUAGGGCUCACGGGUUGACACCUGCAACCACUUUUCCGGAAAAGAACACUCCCUGCGGUGGAUUAGACCGCCAGUGUUCAUGAAAUGCGACGAGUAUCGGGCGGUCAAUGCUGAUAUGCUCAAAGGCCAAACGUCGGCAACCAGCCGACAAUCCUGCCCACAGGGCUCAUCGACCGUAUAGGUCAUCAACUGUAAGGAAGCACAAGAACUGACCACUCAGGUCAACUAGGAUGGGACAACAUCAACAUCCUCUCAAACAUAUGCAAAUACUGCUCAAUGAACCACAAAGACUGACCACUUAGAUCAACUAGGAUAUAUGCACAACGAAUCGACGAAUAGGUCAUCAGGGUGUAUCAAUGGAAUCCAGAACUACCGUCGGCCACUAGCCAACAAUCCAACCCCUCUAGGGUACAUCGACCACAACGGUCAUCGAACGACAGAAGUCAAGGAACCGACCGAAUGUGUCACAAAUACGAGAUACAAGAACAGACCAACUAGGUCACUGAUACGGAGUACGAAAACCAACCAACCAGGUCACUGAUACGAAGUACAAGAAUCGACCAACCAAGUCACUGAUAUGAAGUACAAGAAUCGACNAUAAACAACAAUAUGGGUAAGUGUAAUACUAAAUACAGUAGCAACAAUAAUGAACGAAAGAGAUAGAACUAUAAAUGAAAGCACAACUACCGCUACUGUAAUGAACAACUGAAAGUAUAUAUGCAGCUAAACUAUAGUAACAAGACAAGCGUGAAGAAAGAACUGAAGGUAUACAAACAACAACCGCUACUAUAGCUAUAUGCGUCAAUCGGUCAAGAAGUCCAAAUAUAUCCAAUCUGAAAUCUGUUGCUCUAUUGGUCCACACCGCAAACCUCAAGCCUAUGCCACUACUACUCUCCCAUGCAUAUAACCCCUCUAGGGCUCACGGGUUGACACCUGCAACCACUUUUCCGGAAAAGAACACUCUUUGCGGUGGAUCAGACCGCGAGCGUUCGUGAAAUGCGACGAGUAUCGGGCGGUCAAUGCUGAUAUGCUCAAAGGCCAAACGUCGGCAACCAGCCGACGAUCCUGUCCACAGGGCUCAUCGACCAUAUAGGUCAUCAACUGUAAGGAAGCACAAGAACUGACCACUCAGGUCAACUAGGAUGGAACAACUCAACAUCCCCUCAAACAUAUGCAAGUACUGCUCAAUGAAUCACAAGGACUGACCACUCAGGUCAACUAGGAUAUAUGCAUAACGAAUCGACGAAUAGGUCAUCAAAGUAUAUCAAUAGAAUCCAGAACUACCGUCGGCCACUAGCCAACAAUCCAACCCCUCUAGGGUACAUCGACCACAACGGUCAUCGAACGACAGAAGUCAAGGAACCGACCAAAUGUGUCACAAAUACGAGAUACGAGAACCAACCAACCAAGUCACUGAUACGAAGUACAAGAAUCGACCAACCAAGUCACUGAUAUGAAGUACAAGAAUCGACCAACCAAGUCACUGAUAUGAAGUACAAGAAUCGACCAACGAGGUCAACAGAUACGCACAAAGAUAGAACCACUCUACUCCUACUCAGGAUACUAAGCAUGCAAACAACGAGUAGAGUAUAAUAGAAUAACAUGGGUGCAAGGCUCAANAGGUCACUGAUACGGAGUACGAAAACCAACCAACCAGGUCACUGAUACGAAGUACAAGAAUCGACCAACCAAGUCACUGAUAUGAAGUACAAGAAUCGACCAACCAGGUCAACAGAUACGUACAUAGAUAGAACCACUCUACUCCUACUCAGGAUACUAAGCAUGCACACAACGAGUAGAGUAUAAUGGAAUAACAUGGGUGCAAGGCUCAAUGUAUACUAUGCAAUAAUAACAACAGAAGAGUAAGGGUAAGAAACCAUCACCGAGUGUGCAUCACUGUACCGACGUCGGAUCGAAGUACCCACCUGUACAAAUGUCGCGCUUGUCUCCUGACUGCAAAAGAACGUCAAUCGGACCUAAGGAGGGUCCACUGGGUUAGUGUCCAACCCACAAACAAUAAACGCUGAAUCUACAACCCCACAAACUAAACCCACGGAUAUCGGUUUCCCAAAACCGAUUACCGUAACUCGCCGGAAGUCCCGAAAUCGCACCGGGACUCCGUCGGGACCCACGAACUAUCCCGUAACACACCGACUCGUGCUAUGAGUCACCCGCUGCCACUAAAUAUAAAUAAUCGUGCAUCAUGGCAGCAAACACAACUCACGUCGAAACAAUUAUCGUCGGAUAAUCAUUUCGAUCCGGGUUCCUGGAAGUGUCUAAUUCGACACCGGAACUCACCGUCGCUCACCCGUCAUUUCUAAACUCUCGAAAUGACGCGAGUGAUCAGCCAACAAGGCUCAGCGACUACACAAAAGCUCACGAAGCACCGUCGGAAUAAUUCCGAACCGAACCCGCGUUCCGUCGGCGGAUUUCGCCGAGAAACACUCCGGAAAUCACUUUCCGACACUUGCAAAGGCUUGGGGCCUUGGACGAUCAGUCCAGAGGUUAUCCUCAGCCCUAACUCGCUGCCAACAGCAGCUACGACGAAGCAAACGGCAUAAAAGCCCCUAUCGACACAUGUAAUCACAUUAUUUUAGGUGAUUUCAUGGCUUUUAUGGAUCGUACACGCAAACCAGGGGUCGAUUAGGACAAACAUUGCUCUCGCUGAUAGAUUUCAGCGUGCCAGAGGCCGUGCUCACCUUCCGGAGCACUGCUGGCCACUGCGACGCGCGCACGAGCGACGCGGAAUUCAGUGAAACAACGCGCACAACGCAAAGAUUGCCUUUAACUCACUAACCCGGGCACCAUUAACCCAAAUGGAGGUGAGCAUCGUGUUCAUCACGAGCCCACGAUCAUCGUGCUCACCUCCCGGGUGUCGGGGAGUCAUCGGAUCACCGGAAAGGUGACUGGAAAACUUAACUACAGUGCUGGAGCAUGAAACAACCACUUACCGGAGCAGUGGGAGCUAGGGCUGGCCGCCGGCGGUCGGACGGCGAGCGCUCCGACCGGGGACGGGAGCAGUCGGUCCGAGGGGUCCGGAGGUGGUGCUGGCCUGCGGCGGGUGGCAGCCGGUGGCGCGGCGGCGGAGAUCAUGCCCGCACAGCUCCUCUCGGGUUCAAGGGCGCCGGCGGUGAGGUGGCGGUAGGAGGAGCUGGGGACGGCGAACGAUCGGCACCGGAGGCCGAGGGGAAGGCCGUGCACCCUACGGUGGGCGGCGGCGGCGCUCGGGGGCGGCGCGGCUCCAAGGUUGGCCCGCACGGGUCUGGGCGGGUGCAGGAGCUCCCAGCGGCGGCCGGCAGCAUGCGGGGACGACGGGGGAAGCACGUCGGAGGUCACCGGGGUCGGCUGGGUGGCGGCGCGGCCGAAGGAAGGUGGUGGCGGCGCCCGAAACUCGAGGUUGGCCAGGCUCGGUCUGGGCUGACCCGGGCUGGCAGCAGCUCCAUCAAGCGGCUCCGGCGAUGUCCGGGGAUGGCCGGAGCCGGGGAAAGAACGUGCUAGAGGUGGAUCACGGCCCGGGGCUUCCUUCCAGAGGUGGUGGAGCCUCUCUACUUGCUCUCGGCCAAGGUGGGGGAGAGGGUGGCUAAGAGGGUGGACUGGGCGGCUAGGGUGGUCUGGGUCAGCUGGGGGCGGAUUAGGGUUAGGGUUUCCAUAGUGAACCCUAGCUACAUUAUAUAUGUAGGGUAACAAAUUGCGCCAAAGUCUCUCCAAACUCAGCAAUUCAAUCCGAGUCCCUCACAGCGUGAGUAAAACGCACGAAUACCCCUCCAUGCGCGAUCUCACGCGAAACGGUACAUAAAAUGUCGCGACUUUUCCAAAAUUACCGUUUUGCCAUCACCGACCUCUCCUCGAUCAACGCGCAAUCUUCGCAGAUCCGUCCGUCAGAUUUGCGAACGGAUCGCACCAGUGCGAUCAGCACGACGGAGACAACAAAGCUACGGUUUCGAUUCAUCUCGAUCGACUAUGGAUUCACGACAAAAUCUAAUCUUUCUUCCAACAGAAGAAACAACACACAAAUACAUAUAAAACAUGUAUUUCUGAAUUUUCUCGAAAUCCGUGCGUCAAACUCAAAAUCUACCAGCGCCAAAAGUUUCAGAACAGCUGGACCGGUCGAAACGAGCUAUUGGACUGCUAUGAACGGAGUCCGAUACGAGCCUGAAGCCAACUUCACAUCGUGGCUUCUCCGGAAAACCGAGUUACUAUUCACUUUAAGUGAAACUUGGAGAUUGCGUACCUUCUCCGUUCUAGCUCAGUUUCUCCUGAAACUUGACAAGUGCUUAUGUAAUUAAAUUACACACAUAAAUAUCAUCAACAAAGAGUUUAGUUGCACUGUCAAAAUCUCAGUCCUUACAACUUUUCUAGAAAAUAACAACUGGCCGCGGUGGAUCAGACCGCUGGUGUUCGUGAAAUACGAACGAGUAGUGGCGAUCGAUACUGAUAUGCUCAAUAGCUAACUGUCGGCAACUAGCUGACAAUCCUAUCUCUCAGGGUAUACCGACUAUGUAGGUCACCAAGUAGUCCAACCGACCAAGUAGGUCAUAAAGCUAGAUGCAAUGAACUGACCGAAUAGGUCAUAGUACGAGAUACAAGAACCGACAGAGUAGGUCACAAAUCUCACAUGUAAUCAUAAACCUGCUCUACUUCUAUUCAUGAUGCUAGAAAUGUAAACAAACCAAGUAGAGCGAUAAAGAGGUAAUAAAGGUGCAAGGCUCAACAUAUAUAAUGCAAAAUGAUAGUAGAAGGGUGGAAAGGAUGUCACCGAGCGUGCACCACUGUACCGACGUCCGGUCGAAGUACCCACCUGUACGUAUGUAGCACUGGUCUCCCGACUGCGGAAGAAUAUCAACCGGACCUAUGAAGGGUCCACCGGGUUAGAAUCCAACCCACGAAUAAGAACCACUAACUCACAAUCCCACCUGUAAACCCACGGGAAUCGGUUUCCUAAAAUCGAUUGCCGUAAUUCGCCGGAAGUCUCGAAAAUAGCACCGGGACUCCGCUGGGACCAAUGAACUGUCCCGGAAGUCAUCGACUCGUGCCACGAGUCAUCCGCUGCCACUAAAUACAAUAAUUUGUGUGACUAGGCAGCAAACACGUAUCCUCACAUCGAAACGAUUAUCGUCGGAUAAUCGUUCUGUUCCGGGUUCCCGGAAGUGUCAAUUUCGAUACCGGAACACACCGUCGCUCACCCGUCGUUUCCGAACCCUCGAAACGAUGCGAGUGACCAGCCAACAAGGCUCAGCGACCAAAUAAUUUUCCGUAGGGCACCGUCGGAAGGAUUUCGAUCUGAAACCGCGUUCCGUCGGUGGAUUUCGCCGAAAAACGCACCAGAAAUCGACAUCUGAUUCCCGAAAAGGCUUGGGGCCUUGAGCAACCAAUCUAGAGGUCACCUGCCUUCCGCACACACUGCCCACAGCAACCAUGAAAUGUAAAAUUACAUAAAAACCCCUAUGACUGCAUAAAAUCACAUCAUUUUAUGUGAUUUUCGGGGUUUUACGGCCCGACAGCGCAAACCGAGGACUUUCAAGCCUGGCCGAGACACCCGCUGACAGGUCUCGACGUGUCGGAGGCCGUGCUCACGAUUCGGAGCAUGGCCGGCCAUUGUAGAGAGCGCGGGAGCGACGCAAAAUUCAGUGAACAGCGCGCAGUGCCUAAACAGUGUCUUACACGCAAACCGAGGCUUUGCUGACCCCAAAGGAGGUGAGCACGAUGAUCGUCACAGAUCAGGGAUCGUCGUGCUCAUCUCCGGUAGCGUUGGGGUGCCCUCGGAUUGCCGGAACAGGCACCCGAACCCGAAACAGUGCAAAAAUGACUAACUUAAGAUUAUCGGAACCAGUGGGAGCACAGGAUGGUCGGUGGCGGUCGGACGGUGGGCGGGCCAGUCAGUAGGGGUCGGGGCUCGCGCUGGCCGAUGGCGGGAGGCGGCCGGUGGCGCGGUGUAGAGCCACAAGCCCGCACGGCUCGGCUCGAUUUAGGGAGGCAUCGGCAGCUAGGCGGCGGUCGGGGGAGCUCCGGGGCGACGACGACUGGUCGCCGGAGGCUGAGGGAGGGCGGCGCGGCCGAUAGUGGACGGUGGUGGCGCGUAGAGACGGUGUGGGCCUAAGCUUGGCUCGAUCCUGCAUCGGGUGGCCCUAGGGGGACAAGGCGGCGGCCGGGGGCCUGCGAGGAUGACGGCGUCGGCGGCGAGGGGUCGCCGGUGGCCCAGGAGGGCGGCGCGGCCAACCCCGAAGUGGCAGCAGCUCGUGGCCGCGAAGGAAUGGAGGCCCGAUAUGUGGAUGACUCUGGGUGGCUCAUAGCAGAGAGGAGGGGAACCAAGGUGGAGAAAAAUACAAUGCCGGCCCGUUUUUCGGCGGCCGGGGUGCGCGCGCGGCUAGGGUAGGGAGGUGUUGUUGACGGCUAGGCCGUAGCAAGGUAGCUGAGACAACUAGGGCUAGGGUUUCGUGCAUGAAACCCUAGUUGCACUAUUAUAUAUACCAUGUUUAUUUUUGCAGAAAGGUCCUCCAAAGCUACAUAUUUCUAGCCAACUCCCUCACAGCCCGAACGUUUUACGCUUACUCACCUCGACAUUCGAAAUCGCGCAAAAUGGUCAUAAAAUGUGAGGCUUUUCGCAAAUUUUUCGUUUUGCCAAUUUCGACCCUUGAGCGAACUUUAUGCGAUUCCUGGAGAUUCGUCCGUCGGAUUUCCGAUCGGAUCGCGCCAGCGCGUUCAGCACGACUGGGCAUCGACUUUACAAUUUUGUUUCGUUGUCGCCGAUUUGCGACGAAACCAAACCCUCUCCGCGUUCCACCAAUAACAAUAUAUAUAUAGAGAGAGAGAGAGAGAGAGACAGAGAGAGAGAGAGACUCUUGUACUUUCGAAAGUACGGAGACCUCCGUGCUUGUAAGUUGUUUUCGAUGAUAGGAAAUCCGAUUCGACGAUUGGCUCCGUUAAGUAUAAUCUACCAUAUUGGAACUAUUUAGAAACCAAAUUUUAUAAUUUUUUGACAUCAUUUACCAAGCGAUCAAAAGGUCUCAAAAAUGACUAUUUUAAUGGCCGAUGUGGCACGUUUUUAAAUUCAACGGUGUAGAAGUAUCUAUAUUAGAUGAAAAUUUAAUAGAAAAUUCUACUUAACAUCAAUAGCAAGACCAAUACUUCCAAUUUGAAAUUUGAGUCCUUUAUCACUAUUUUUUAUGAGAUUUUUAUUUUCAGCCGUUCAUUUUGAGGCUACUCGUUUACUAGACAAACGAAGUCAAAAAAUUAUGAAAUUUGGUUUCUAGGUAGUUCUAAUAACGUAGAUCAUGUCUAACGGAACCGAUCGCCUAAUCAGAUGUCCCAUUAUUGAAAACAACUUACAAGUACGGAGGCUUUGGUAUUUUUGAAAGCAUAGGAGCCUAGCUCUAUAUAUAUAUAUAUAUAUAUAUAUAUAUAUAUAUAUAUUUAAAUUUGAAUUUUUAAAAAUUCCAAAUUUGAAUUUCCUUUAUUAUCAAGUUUCGGAUAUUACAUUCUUGCUACCGCUGCUCCUUUCUUGUUCUUGUUGCCACGAUUGCCGAUGAAGCUUGCUAGAUGCCCACGAACAGAGAGAGAGGAUAGGGGAACACGGGAGGGAGAGGAGAGGGCGGUAGAAUGGAUUUCAUUAGUGUUUUUUUAGGUUUCUUUUAUGAUCUUUUAAUUAUCUUAUCGGGUUAAAACAUAAAAUUUAAAUCUGAAACACGACAACCUGAAAACUUGAAUCCAAAACCCUAUAAUAUUAAAUAUUGCGAGGUGUUCACCUUACGCCCGCCUCGUGCUUUGCUUGAGGCCACACCUUACGCUUUGCCUGAGGCGCGCCCCUUAGGGCCUAGGCGCGCUCCUCAGGAAUAGCGAUGUGCCUUGCUAUUGCUGAGGUGUUGAGGCCCGCGCCUCGCGCCUAGGCAUCGAGGCACGCGCCUCAGGCGUGCCUGAGACGCGCCUCAGGCAUGCGCCUCAAGCGCAACUUAGGCCCACUGGGGAGUUUUGCUCGUGUUCGACGUGGUGAAUUCUACGAAGGGCUGAGUACUUGUCCGGCCGUGCUUGUGCUGUAUCCUUCAGCUCUCUGAACUUUCGGCAUCAUAUAUUUAUUCUCCUACACAGCAUUGAGAAUCGCUAUUCUUCUAUUAACGGUUAUCUCGAGAUAACUGGUUAAGAAGGGGGGAUAAUAGUUCCACCUUAUUCCUCUAUUAAUUAAAUUAUAAAUAAUUAUACAAUAUAUCUAAUUAGUAACUAACUAAUUUUAUUAAUAACUAAUUAACCACUUGAUUUAUUAAAUUAAUAUAUAUUUAAUUAACUAGAGCAAAUAAUUAAUUAUUUAAUAUGCUUAUUCAACAAUUAACUAAUAUCUAGAGUAGGGCUACUAUACUCUUAUGAGUAUAGAACCUUUACUACUCAUAAGUUGUUUUCGAUGUUGGAGUUUUCGAAUCGACGAUCCACACCGUUAAAUAUGAUCUAGAGUAUUUGAAACUUUUAGAAAAUAAAUUUCAUAAAUUUUCGAAAUCAUUAUAAAGUCCAUCAAGCGAGUAUAAAAUGAAUGGUUAAAAUCGAAUGACAUCCUAAAAAUGGAUGAUCGGGUCCUUCAAUUUAAAAUUGGAGUUAUUGAUCUUUAUUUAGGUAGUGAAUAGAAUUUUCUAUCAAAAAUUCAACCUAUUUCGAUUUUUUUUCACCGUUAAACUAGCAAAUAUCUCAUACCGGCCGUUAAAAAUUGUCAAUUUUGUGACCUUUUGAUCGUUAGGUAAAUGAUAUCGAAAAAUUAUAAAAUUUAAUUUCUAGAAGUUUUAAAUGCUCUAGAAAAUGUUUAACUGUAUGGAUCGUCGAUUCAGAAGCUCUACCAUAAAAAACAACUUAUGAGUACGAGGGCGAUCGUACUCAUAAUAGUAUAGUAGCUGGACUCCUAAUAUCUAUAUAAAUUAACUUAUCUAAUGUAUUUAGUAGAUAUCUAACUAAUUAAAUAACUAAUUAAUUAGUUAACAUAUUAAACUAUUCUUCAUAGUUAAUUAACUAACGUGCUUCUUAUUGUCUUAUACGACAUUCCCAGUUAAUUAAUUAACAUAUUAAAAUAUUAUUUUAUUAAUACUUUAAUGCUUAUUAUUUAGGUAAAAAUAUUUUUAUUUUACAAUUAUAAUUGAUCUUAGUGCUUCUAUUCCAACCUAUACUAAUGUGCAUUUUCUUAUUUCUAUGAAUAAUCCAAUUCUCAUCCAAACACAAUACUGGUAUAAAGUCUGCCUAUCCCAUAAGUUAUACUUAUGCCGGACAUAAGUAUGAACAGCUUAUUCGCAUACCAAACGGUACCUUAAGGAAUAAAGAAUUAAUUUUAGAUACCAAAAAUGUUACUGUGGAGGAAUAGAUAGCUAUGUUUUUAUUUACUUCAUCUAAAAAUGCAACCAAUCAUACUGUCCAAGAGUGUUUUCGGCAUAGCGGUGAAAUUGUAAGUCGACAUUUUCGAUUUGUAUUAGAAGCCAUUAAUUUUAUGUUUUGGAUGAUUAUUUGCACUAAUUAUGAGCUAGUAGCAAGUGAUAGAAGCUAUAAUCAAGCAAAGACUAUUUUGUCAAAAAAUUGUAGCCUACAAUAAAUGGCAAUGAAAUGCUUAAUCAAUAUUGCACUUCUCAAAUACAUGCUUUUGAGACGAAAUCAAUCACUUUCUUAUAAAAUUGAAGAAGGAAAAAGAAGGGAACAACAAAAAACAAAAGACUACAACGCACAACCAAGGGGCUGUCUGAAUGCAUGUGCCUUAGGUGACCACGCAGCUAACAUGGGCAACUUUUGUUACCGAGCGUCCUAAGGUGGCCAGGUUGCCACAAGGGUGGCUAGGUUGCCAUAAGGGCUCUUCCCUGUGGCUGUGACUCUCUAAAGGGCCCACGAUAAGACGGAGGGGACUAUGGUUGCGCUCCCUCUAUGGGGGCCGCACAGCCAUAGGAGGCCUAAGGGGCCUGCAUGACAAAAGAUAGACCCCUUUAUGGCUACGUCUCCUUAGUGUGGCCUCGUAGCCAUAGGGGGUUCCCAUUAUGGCCGCAACCACCUACAAAGGCCAAGUAACCAUAGAAAGCCUUUUGUGGUGCGUGCCCUAGAGAGAGGGAAAGGGGGGAGGGAGGAGCAAUAGGAAAAGUAGCAUCCUGUGCCACUACUGUCGCCGCCAUUAUCUUCACUAGAGGAUUCGUCGCCAUUUUCUGCUUGGGAAGAGAAGAUAGAUGAAGAGAAGGGGUUUUUUUUUGAGUUUUUAGGAAUGGAAGGGAGAGGGUGAAAGAAGGGCUAAAGUGCAUACCCUCUUGAGUUGUAUUAAUGAAUAUAUAUAGUACAAGAGAUUGUCUUACUAUAGUAACAAUGACUACUAUAGUAAGAGUAUAACUAGGAUUACAUACUAUAUAAUCCUACUCUAUAGAAGGCAAUGAUACUACUCUAUAUAAGGCAAUAAAACACAAUAUCCUAAUAUAUCGUAACAUCCUAAUAUGGAUAAAAUAUAUCGUAACAUCCCCCCGCAAGCUAAGCAUCCGGUGGUCGGAUGCGAAGAUUGAGCCGCAAUAUCGAAAACCGAGAGGAUGACAGGGGCUUGGUGAAAAUGUCGGCAAGUUGCUUGUCAGAAGGGAUAUGAAUUAAGGCCAAAUCACCAGACUGAACUUUUUCCCGCAAAAAUUGAUGAUCAAGUUCAAUGUGCUUCGUGCGAGCAUGGAGAACAGGAUUGGCCGCAAGGUAGGUGGUGCUGAGAUUAUCGCAAUAAAUACUGAUAGAGCGCCAUAAGAAAACACGAAGGUCACGAAGGAGACGACGAAUCCAGACUGUCUCAGCAAGUGUGUAGGCUACAGCACGAUACUCUGCUUCAGAACUAGAACGAGAAAUGGUGGGUUGUUUCUUAGCGGACCAGGAGAUAAGAUUUGGCCCAAGAAAAAUGCAAUAUCCAGAAGUAGAGCGACGUGUAUCGGGGCAACCAGCCCAAUCAGCAUCAGCGAAGGCCACAAGAGAAGGAUUGUCACAGCGAGAGAUAGGAAGGCCAUAAGUCAGCGUCCCCCGAAUAUAACGCAGAAUACGUUUGACCGCUUGCAUGUGUGGUUCACGAGGUGCAUGAAGAUACUGGGCAACAGAGUUGACGGCAUAUGAAAUGUCCGGUCUGGUGAAAGUGAGAUACUGGAGAGCACCAACGAUCUGACGAUAAGUGUAUGGAUCCUCAAGAAGAUGCCCUUCAUGGGAAGAGAGACGAGAUGUUGGCGAAAGAGGAGUAGAAACGGGCUUACUGUCAAGAAAACCAUGUCGCUGAAGCAAUUGAUGCGCAUAUUUUUGUUGAGAUAGAUGAAGACCAGAUGGAGAGCGAUGAACCUCAAUACCCAAAAAAUAAUGCAGCGGUCCGAGAUCCUUCAUGGCAAAUUCGCGUUGUAAAGUAACGAUAAGAGCAUCGAGAAGAGAUGAGGAACUGCCGGUGACAAUAAUAUCAUCAACAUACAAGAGGAGAACAAGAGUGCCAGAGGAAGAAUGACAAACAAACAUUGAGGGAUCAGCAGUGCUGCCAACAAAACCAAUCUCAGAAAGAAAAGAAGUGAAACGCUGAAACCAAGCCCGAGGAGCUUGUUUGAGACCAUAUAUCGCUUUACGUAGGCGGCAAACGUGACUAGGAAGCGAAGGAUGCACAAAGCCAGGUGGUUGUUUCAUAUAAACCUCCUCAGAGAGAGUGCCAUGAAGAAAGGCAUUCUUCACAUCAAGUUGUCGGAGAGACCAUCCAGAGGAGAGAGCGACUGAAAGAACAGUACGAAUAGUGGUCGACUUGACAACCGGAGAAAAAGUCUCAUCAAAAUCAAUGCCUUGUUGUUGUUUGUAACCCUGAGCCACUAGUCGAGCUUUGAGACGCUCAAGAGAGCCAUCCGCCUUCUGUUUGACUUUGUAGACCCAUUUACAGCCAAUAAGAUUGACAGAAGGAGGAGCAGGAACAAGCUCCCAAGUAUCAUUGGUGAGUAAUGCAUCAAAUUCUUCAGCCAUGGCAGCACGCCAAUCUGCAUCCUGAAAAGCUUCAUGAAAAGUGAUAGGCUCAGUAGGAAGAGUAGUAUGUGUAGAAGCUAGGAAGGAGGUAGACCCAGCAAAAUUCUUAGCCAUAGAUCGAGUAAGCAUAGAGUGUGUCCGGAUUGGUAAGGAAGGCUCUGCAGGCUGAGGUGAAGGUGGCCUGUCCGAUGUGGAAGGCGUCAACUCAACAGGAGAAGGUAAAGCUGUAGCAGCAGAAGGUCGGAGGGUGUGUCGUCUGGUAUAGACUCGGAGUUCAGGUGGACCAGCAACAGUGGCAGCAUGUUCAUCACUAACCUGUGUGGCAUCAUGAUUCAAGGUGGAAGGAAAAGUCGAUACAGUCUCAGAUGGUGAAACAGAUGCAUUUGAACUAACAUCCGGAGAAAGGCGUGUGAAGGAAAAACCAGAGAUGGCAUCAAGAGAGGAAGGACUUUCGCCCAAUAAGGGAGGAUUAGAAAGAAAAUGUUGAAACAUUUGAAAAUUUGAGGUAGUGGGGGAAGAUGAGGAAGAAAAUUUGGACAGACAAGAGUAAGGAAAAACAGUUUCAACAAAAGUAACAUGGCGAGAAAUAAAAACUUUACCAGUGCUCGGAUAGAGGCAGCGAAAGCCCUUAUGUUUGUCAGAAAGACCCAAGAAAAUACAAGGAAGUGAUCGGGGAGAGAGCUUGUGAUCUGCAAUGUCCUGAACAUCGGGAUAACACAAACAUCCAAAGACUCUGAUAAGUUGCAAGUCAGGAGAAGCACAACCAUGGAGAAUGUCAUAUGGUGACCGCCCAUUUAAAACAGUAAGAGACGGAAGUCGAUUUACAAGAAAAACAGCAGUUUGAAUGGCCUCAGCCCAAAAACGAGGAGGCAAGCCAGCUUGGAAUAGUAGACUUCUAACAAUGUUAGAUAAAUGCCUAUGUUUUCUCUCAGCAAGGCCAUUUUGUUGAGGAGUGUAAGGACAAGAAAAUCGGUGAAUAAUUCCAUUUUGUGAGCAAAAACUAGAAAACUUGUCAUUUACAAAUUCCGUACCAUUGUCAGAUUGAAAAAUUUUUAUUGAGCUAUGAAAUAUAUUUUCAACCAUCUUCUUGAACUCGAAAAAUUUGUCAAAAACUUCAUGUUUAAAUUUUAAAAGAUAAAGCCAGGAAAAUCUAGAAUAAUCGUCGAUAAAAAUAACAUAAUAUUUGUAUCCAGAAACCGAGGGCACAGGUGAUUGCCAAACAUCAGAAUGAACAAUAUGAAAAGGAAAAGCAGAUUGAGAUUCUGAAUCAUGAAAUGAGAGUUUAACAUGUUUUCCCAUAUUACAAGCAUUGCAGACAGAUAAUUUCAGUGCAGAAUCAGAAACAAUUUUAUUAUUUUUAAUAAAUGUAGAAAGAACAGGAAGACUAGGAUGACCUAACCGUCUAUGCCAGACAUCUCCACUAAAUCUAGAUGCAAUAAGAGCUAGUUGUUGCUUAUUCCCUACACUUGCAAGUCUAGAAGAAAUUGGAUAAAGUGAUGUUCCCGAGCUAGGACAUCGAAGAAGCUCCUUCCCUGUUUCCUUGUCCUUCACAGAGAAACCAGUAGAGUCAAAUUCAAAAAGAGAAUUAUUAUCUUGACAGAAUUUACGCACUGAAAGUAAAUUUCUCUUAAUAGUAGGAACAACAAGAACAUUUUUUAGAGCAAAAGAGUUAGAAGAUGUAUUCAAUUGAGUUUCACCUGUCUGAGUAAUAUCAAGUAAAUUUCCAUUACCAACAAGAAUUUUUUCAUGCCCACUAUAAGGUUUAGAAGAUGAGAGAAUACCAGAGUUUGCGGUUAUAUGAUUUGAUGCUCCGGUAUCCGGAUACCAGACUUCCUCACCGGGUUCGUGAAGGUUCAUAGCAGCAAAGGUCUGAGGAACUUCAUCAGCAGCGAAAGAAUGAUUGAAGCGUUGUCUGCACUGAAGAGCAGAAUGAUUGAACUUUCCACAUAUCUGACAUUGUAUGCCGGACUUCGGAAUAUAUGGUUGUUGAUUUGGAGUGUAAGAUUGUUGAGGAUAAUUAGGUUGAGACUGUGGGUAGAUUUCAGGAGAUCCACGACCAGAAUAGUGUCUACCACGUUGUCCUCGGCCUCCACGAUAUCUACCUCCACGGCCUCCACGAUUACCACGUCCACGAUUGGCAUAAAGAGCUUCACUGUCAAUAGUGGGAAUAGCAGAGGACGUAGUCACACUAGUGCGACGCUGAACUUCUGUUUCUUCUUGCAUCAAGAGUGGACGAAGUUGUUCAAAAGUUGGCUUAUUUCUGUGUGUGUUUAGAGCACUAACAAAACCUCGAUAUUCCUCAGGUAGCCCUAGAAGAACAGUCAUGACCAAAUUAUGGUCUGACUCGAUUUCACCAAUCGCCUGAAGAGCAUUACCAAUCGUCUUGAUCUUUUGCAUGUAAUCACUCAUGCUCAUUGAGCCUUUCUUGAUGCUCCGCAAUUCAGAUUUUAGAGAAAAAGCCGUGGAAGCAGUCUUAUCAAGAAAAUAUGCCUCAAUAAUUCUCCAAGCAUCAUAUGCAGUUUUAGGUGAGCUAGAAACAACCAUAUGUAAUAUGCUAAGAGAUAAAGUGGCAUUAAUCCAUGAAAGUAUAGUAGUAUCGUUCUUUUUCCAACUCACAUAUUCAGGAUUUAUAACCUCCUUCUUAUCAGCAGUAUCGAUAGUCUGAGAAGGCACAACACUAGUUCCGUCCACAUGUUUUGUAACAUCAAAACUUUCUAGAACAUUAAGAAAGACUUGUUUCCACACAAGAUAUGUAGAAUCGGUGAGUUCUAGUGGUAUGAGAGUUUUGAUAUUAACAAUUGGCAAAUUUGAGAUAGAAGAAGACAUGUUUACUACCUUAAGAUAAGGAUCCACCACUAGAUAAGAAAGAAAGAUAAAUCGGAAUGUAGCGGAUGUGAAAAAAAAAAAAAAAGAACCUGAAUUCAAUAACAUGAGAGGAACCACUUAUCACCAAAUAAGAUCGACCGCACCAAGGAAAGAACCGAGUGAUACGAGCAACCAACAGUAGGACAGUCCGAGCGGCACCAGAGGAGCAAAGAGAAAUCACAGAAAGGCUGAAAAUACUGUAGCAGAAAUACUGUAGCGCUGUUACUGUAGUGCCAGUACUGUAGUGCUGUUACUGUAGCGCCAGUACUGUAGCGCUGAUACUGUAGCAGUACUGUAGCAGUACUGGGAAGAUAGAAAACCAAAAGAAAAGACACCUAUAGAAAAAGAUGAGAUUAAUGGUGGAUGGUGGCUCUGGAUCGAUAUCCCCACAUUAGGGUUCCCGCUCUGAUACCAUGAAAGAAGGGCUAAAGUGCAUACCCUCUUGAGUUGUAUUAAUGAAUAUAUAUAGUACAAGAGAUUGUCUUACUAUAGCAACAAUGACUACUAUAGUAAGAGUAUAACUAGGAUUACAUACUAUAUAAUCCUACUCUAUAGAAGGCAAUGAUACUACUCUAUAUACGGCAAUAAAACACAAUAUCCUAAUAUAUCGUAACAGAGGGCCUUUUGUCUUGAAAGAAUGGAGAGUUCUAAGUUUUCUCUAGUUGGAGUGGAGUGGUCAAAAAUUACUUUCUGUUUUUGCUCAUAUUUUCGCUAAACCAUAGUUUGCGGGCAUGGUUUAAGCCUAUUCAAACAACCUCAUAGUAGAAAAAACAUAUCUCAUUGUGGAGUUUAGACUAUACCCCAUUUUAGAUCCCAUCCAGAUCGGCCCUAAAUGGAAAAAAGAUAGAAAACUUCUUAAAGCCCACAUGCAUUAUUGGGACAACACACCACAAACAAUCUAAAAUGACUAAACCAUAAAAAUUAAAAUAUAAUUUCUUAAAUGAAAAACUAAGCUAAAAGAAACUAAAAUAAAUAGGAGAAGACCCAUCCUUGAACUGUGAGACCCUAGCUAGUCCAAUAUAUAAGAUGUAAUAAGGUUAAAACUCUUAACCCUGCUUGAGCAUUUUGGGCAGUGGCUAGGCCCAAGAGGUUAAGAGAGUUAAGCGUGCUAGGACGGGAGUAGUCCUAGGAUGGGUGAUCCCCUGGGAAGUUGGGGCGUCACAGUUGGUAUGAGAGCCAAUUACCAUUCGGAAGUCUGAGAUGAGUCUCGGCUGAGUCAGGAUUAUACAGCGGGGAGAGCGAAGCCCUCAUACUGUUGACUGUUGUAAGUAGAGCGUAGCUCACCACAAGGUCGGUUUAGGCUAGUGAGACGAGUUUUAUAUUGCCUGGUACUUGUGAGUCUGAGCUUUAACGAGGACGUUACGGCUUAAGAGGGGGAGAAUGUGAGGCCCUAGGUAGUCUUAUAUAUAAGAUAUAAUAGGGUUAAAACUCUUAACCCUGCUUAAGAAUUUUGGGUUGUGGCUGGGCCCAAGAGGUUAAGAGAGUUAAGCGUGUUAGAACGGGAGUAGUCUUAGGAUGGGGGAUCCCUUGAGAAGUUGGGCCGUCACAUGAACUGCAUCAUUAUGUCCAAUAAAUAUCAUUCUUUGUGGCCCUCGUAAGAUAUAAACUAAGUUGAAAAGGUUUUAGAAAGAGUAAAAACAGGGGCUUCUAAUGACUUUCUAAUGCAACAGAGAAAUAUAGAAUUAACAGAAAGCAACAGAGCGAAAUUCAUAUUCUUAUAUCUAGGUUUUUUCGUAUUUAGAAAAAAAGGAACUCAUUGACUUUUCUGGCACAUUUUUCAACACUUAAUUUUGUUUUAUGCCUUUUGCACCUCCUAGUGAUUGAAUCUUAAAUAUUUAAAUAAUUCCUUCGCUACUGUUUGGACUAUUUUGUUGGAGUAUGGAUCCAAGUUCGUUAGGAAAUUGAGUAUUUUCACCCAAACACCAGUGUACCUUGUCCAUUUAAGGAUUGAAGUAACAUACAAUCUGCACAAUAUGCCUGCUCAAUAUGCCUCAUAGUGACCAAAGAAAAAGAAACAAGGUAAACAGCUGAUUGGUAUCAGGACUCAAAUCUGCUUUGAUGUGAUUUUUGGAAGCUGGUACAAAGCCAGUCAGAUUGGCUAUAAACCUUUCGUUUCCAAUUCUCUCUUAAUGCAGCUGCUGAUAUUGGUGUUGCUCGCUGUGUGACUUCGGCCAUAAAUUCAUUUUGCACUGUCACUUUUGAUGCAACGCCUAGUUUAUUAAAUUAAUAUGUAAAAGCCCUUGUUUUCUUCUACGUGGAUUAACAAUUUGAAGGAUUGUUUCCGGAAAAAAUGACUGCUGAUUACUUUAAGGUUUCAGAAAAGAGGAGUAAAAACAGGGGCUUCUAAUGACUUUCUAUCGCGACAAAGAAAUAUAGAAUUGAUGGAAAGCAACAGAGCGAAAUUUAUAUUCUUAUAUCUAGGCUUUUUUCGUAUUUAAAAAAGAAGGAAUUCAUUGAAAUUUCUGGCACCUUAUUCAACACUUUUUUGUUUUAUGCCUCCUGCACUUCCUAGUGAUUGAAUCUUGAAUAUUUAAAAUAACUCCUUUGCUACUGUUAGGCUUUUUUCGUAUAUCUAGGCUUUUUUCGCAUUUAGAAAAGAAGGAACUCAUUGAAAUUUCUGGCACCUUAUUCAACACUUUUUUGUUUUAUGCCUUCUGCACCUCCUAGUGAUUGAAUCUUGAAUAUUUAAAAUAACUCCUUUGCUACUGUGAGGACUAUUUUGUUCCUAGUGGUUGUAAUAUGGAUCCAAGCUUAUUAGGAACUUGAUUAUUUUCACCCAAACACCGCUGUAACUCGUCCAUUUAAAGAUUGAAGUAACAGACUAUCAGUAUGCCUGCCUCAUAGUGACCAAAGAAAAAGAAACAAUGGUAACCAGCUGAUUGGUAUUAGAACUUAAAUCUGCUUUGAUGUGAUUUUUUGGAAGCUGUUACGAAGCCAGUCAGACUGGCUAAUGCUUAUGUUGCCAUUGUGAAAACUUUCGUUUCCAAUUCUCCUUUAAUGCAGCUGGUGAUACUGGUGUUGUUCGCUGCAGGAGUUCGACCACAAAUUCAUUUUGCACUCUCACUUUUGAUGCAAACCCUAGUUUGUUAAAUUAAUAUGUAAAAGGCCUUGUUUUCUUCUGCAUGGAUUAACAGUUUGAAGGAUUGUGGCCAAUAAAUUGACUGCUGAUUGCUUGAAAGCAGGAAAAAGACUGGUCAUGCAUCUUUGCUUGAAUUUAAUAGCGCAUAUGAUUUUAUUGUAUCAAAUAUCGAGAAUGGUUGUUGCAAAGCAAAAUUACUGGAAGAGGAGAUAUAAGCAGCAGUUUGCAAAGAAUAAAGGGAAAACUUUCAUGGAUUAUGCUUAGUAUGGUUGUUUGGCUUAACUUUGCUUAGGAGUUUUUGGAUUGACAUAACUACUGUUUGGCCAUAAGCUUAGUGAGAGUAGAAGUUGGUCCCAUUGUUGACUUUGAUAACAUUGAUGGAGAUCAACAACCUAGUCAUGGGGUCAAUUUACUGAGAGUAGCAUUCCCUUGGAAUGUAGUCAUCUUUCAUGGCAAAAUCUGAAAUGUUGCCUGCAUCUAGUUGGCAGAUCUCUUUAACAUUGUCGUGGUUAACGCUGGAACUAAUGUUUGAACUUCGCUCAAUCCCCAAAAUGUUAGUGCAAACAUUCCUUCAUGACAAGAACAAAUUGCUUACGGGACAUUCGUUUCAAUGGUCUGUAGAAUUCUAGGAAUCCUCUACAUUUUCUAUUUAAGGUACUCAAAUUGUCUCAAUGUAACUCAAGUUGGGAAUAUGUAAAAAGCUUUGCUGAGGUGGUUGAAUCAUCCUAGAUUCGCAGGUAGUAGGCAUGUUACAAUACCAUGGUUGAAAGAACUUUGCCAUUUCCAUGGUUCAUGGGAAUUAGGGGCCGUUUGGUUCAAGGUUUAUAAUGUUUUGGGAAUGUUGUUUAUAUAAAUUUGGAAUGACAAAUUUGUUACUAACUCACCAACCGCUUGGGUUGAGAGGUUGUUAAAAACUAGUAUAUUCUUUUUAAUGAACUACUAAUGAUUCCCAUCAAGUAUGGAAAUGAGAAUAACUCCUAACCUAUGAUAAUCUAGUAUUUCUACCACCUAGGAAUCUACAAUGAUUCGACUACUUGCCUAACACCUUUUACAACUACCCAACUUGAGUUGAAUGAUAAUGAUUUUAAAUAUUUUCAACAGAAAAUACCGGUAUAUUACAAACUGUGAACCAAACAGGCCCUUACAAUAAUACACAACUACACGAGUCCCUUGCACCCUCCCAACAUAAGUGGCGUGGCGACAAUAUUGUCAGUCCAUAUAUAAAAUGUGUGGCACUCCGGAUACUACAGACUUGUGAAACGAAUAACCCUUGGAAAGAAAUUCAUCAUUGUUUUUCAUGCGGACUUUCUUGAGGGGUUGAUCCUUGUUGUGUGGCUCUAAAAUGCAAAGAAGGUUGAUUAGUUUAACCUCCAACUGGGAGUCGCAGCUUUAAUAACUAGUCCUAAUGUCUAAACCAAAUUUUUAGAGACUAGAUUUUAGCUUAACUCUUGAUUUUAACUUAACUCUUGAUACCUGACUCUUAAGUUCUAAUUAUUAUCAUUCUUAUUUUUGGUGGGGAACUUUUUCAACUUUGAAUUGUACUUCAUCUAACUUGAUAUUGUUUGGAAAGACUUCUAUGGCUCUACCUACUUCUAGCUAGAGGUGUCAGUAUUGGAGAAGACUACAAAAUUAGUUCUCUUCUAGAUGCUGAUUUAGCGAAAAAGAAAAAAGAAAGAAAAAGGAGGAAGCUUGACUGCUUGAGUUGAAGCUCUUGCAAUUAGUUGAUGGUGAAAUUGUUUGAUCACUAGUAACCUCAUUCUCAUCUGUUCUGCACAUAAUUCACUCUUAUGCUUUCUUCUUUCUAGUGUUUUGAUUAAAUGCAGUUUUACUGUCAUAUUGUCGACUUGAAUUGCUACAUGAUGCAGUUAUAGGGUGGUACUAUGACCAUUCUUUUCCUUUUUAUUGGUUUCUGUAAAUUAUCUUAUUAAACGUACUUAUGGAGAACUUCCUGUCUAGUUUACGAUGUUGUGCUGACAAGUGACUCCUAACUCCUUUUGUCUUUAAUUUAGUCAACAAACUCUUUUUGUCUCUAAUUUAAUUAACAAAAUACUUGAAUCAACAGAGUGAUUUAUGUUGUACAUAUGGAUCAUAUGAUUUUCUUCACUCCUUAGUUAGCCGUGUGUGAUUUCAAUGUAGCACAUAUAGGUAUUGUAGUUUUCUUUGCUUAAUUUAAUCGUAAAUUUACUUUUGUUGUUACCUAUUAUUCUUUUGUGUUUUCUUGGUUGGUCCGUUCGCCAUUAAAUAUUCUUUCCUUUGCAACAGCACUGGCAAAAGCUCAGCAAUUACUGCUUGAUCCACAAGAAAGGGAUUAUAUUCUUAACCAAGUCAGUGCCGCAAAAGGUGUGCAAAUAAUCUCUAACCUUAUUAUAUUAUCUUUAUAUCAGAAAGACUAAAGUAUUUUUUGGACAAUUAUUAAUCUUACUAGUCCAUUUUUCUGUAGGAUUCUUAAAAUUGGGUUGUCUUUGUUGAGCAUUAGUAAUCAGAAAAGGAUAUUCUAUUUCUAUUUCUCUUUUUUUUCUUUUGAUUUGGUGGGGGUGUUUGGGGUUUUCAGUGUGCGCAGCGCUGUUAUGAGGUUGUUCUUCUAAUAAAAUGCGACUAGAAGAUUUGUUGAUCAAAUACAUUUCUAAUGUGAUGUUGAUGCUUCAUUUGAAUGAGUCUUCUAGGGGUUUUUAUCUUCUUGAAAUCAUUUAAGAUGGGAAACAUUUGAUAUACUAACAGAUGAAACAAAUUGUUACUGUAUGUUGUGAACUGCAGAAGAGCUUAGGUUAAAGAGGAAGAAAGAGUUGAAGAAGGACAAUGCUUCGAAAAUAAAGGCACUGGUAGAUGAGGUAAAAUGAGCUGUUUUAUAAUUUAAUGUUUCACAUGUUUCUGCUGGAGUACUUUUCCAAAUCUCGAUCUUUUUACAUAAUCUGCUAUAAAUUUUGUAAACCUCUUCUGUAGGUACAUUACAUAAUAGACUAGUUUUAAUAGAGAUAAAAAAUGGAAAUUUCUUAUAUUUAUGUGAUGACACUUCACGACUUGAAUAAAACAUUUUUUUUCAUAGAAUUGUGUAAAUAUGCUUAUUUUCUUGUAAGUACUUUGUGUGUACAAUUGUUUGUCAUGACAUCAUUAGGUAACAAUUUCCAAAAUUUUAUCUUAUGAAAUUUGUGUCAAUCAUUCAUAGUUGUAUUUUUUUUAUGCAUUUGUUCUCAUCAUAUCAUUAUCCUAUAUUUUCCCAGGAUGAUGCAAGACAAAUUAGAAAAACCCUACUAUGUUUUGCAAGUCAUGAACCCAAAAUAUGUUUAAAACCAAAUUUAGAAUUUUCUAGAAAUUUUAGGGCGUGUUUGGUUUGCCCAUUUUUCACCUAGGAAUCGGAAUUGGAAUGCAUGAUUCCGUUUGUAGGUGUUUGGUAUGCGGGAAUACCAUUCCAAUUCCGAUUUCUGGGUGGAAUGGGAUCCCCCCAAUCACUACUUUUUCCAUUCUGGCCUAGGAGGCUAGUUUGGAAGUUAAAUUUGGGUGGAAUAAAUGUUUGUUCGGAUUAAAUUUAAAUUUUUAACCUUAUUUUUUUAAUUAAAUAUAAGUUUAAAUUCAGAAAUUAAAUUUAUAAUUUUAAAUUUUAAUUUGAACUUGAAUUAAAAGUUAAAAUUCAAUAAAGCAUUUAGAAUCUAAUUUAUGAAUUUGAAUUAAAAUUCAAAUUUAAAAUUUAAAAUUUAAAAUUUAUUUAAAAUUUAAACGACAAUUAUUUUUUAGACUGUUUGAAAUAAGGAUAUAUUAUUUUGGGUAAUUUUAUAUUGUUACCAGCAAUUUUAGUUUGUUAUAAUAUUGGUCUUAAAAUAUGACUUCUCUUUCACUUUUCUUUUCUUUUUUUGAGGAAAUGAUUUUGUUUUGUUAACUAUUCUAUUUAUUAGAAUCAUAUAAAAUUUUGUGAUUUGUAUGUUACCAUAUAAUUAUUACAAUAAAAGAUAAUAAUAAAUAGUUUAUUUUCAUAUUAAAUAAUAUAAAAUAUAAAAUUGUCUUAAUUUUCAUUAAUUAAUUAUUUUAUAAGUUGCCCAUUUAUAUUUAAAUAGAGUAUUCAAAAUGGUUAAAAGUAAUUAAAAUGUAUUAUAAGGAUAAAAUUGGUACAUUAAUUUGAUUUCGUUUCUGAUAUCUACAUAAACCAAACAUUGACAGUAGGAAUGGUUCAUUCCGAUUCUGAUUCCAGUGGCGAAUCAAAUAGAAUGAGUUAAUUGAGUCAUUCCGAUUCCAAUUCCAGCUUAUUUCGAUUCUGAUUCCGAUUUUUGAUUCAAACUUCGAACCAAACACAGCCUUAGGGUAUUUUUCAAAAGAUUUUUUUAAAAAAUUAAGAAAAUUAAGAGAAAAUUAAAGAAAAUAGCUGAUAAAUAGGAAAAAGUCAGAACAUUCAUAGAAUUGUUUUAGAAUAUUGGAAAGGCAAAUUGGAAGAAGAACAAAAGAGAUAAAGGAAAGAAGAAAGGAUGAGGAAGGAAAGAGAAGAUAGAAUCUUUUUAAAAAGAAUUUUGCCGGUGCAUACGGUAGAGAAAUAGAGGAGAAGAAGAUACCAUGCCGCAGUCAAAACACAGAACCUAAAUUUUAUUCCAUCAUAACUCCUCUGAAAUUAUAAGGUAUAGGCUAUAUUUAUAAUCUUGAAAACAUAAUCCUAAUCUAAAACACAUCGCACGAUUGUAGGCAUCUUCUCCUAUUUCGAAAAUAUCUUAUAAAAGUCUAAGCCAAAUUAAUCCUAAAAAUCUUUGAAUAACUAAAACAAACUAAUAAAUGCAAAAAUUGACUCAAAUAAAUAAAAGAUGACUCGACCGAACCCUCUUUGAAUAUGGUUCUGCAUCAUUCGUUUCUGCUGCGCGGGAUCUCGUCCUCGCGAUCAACACAAUCAAAAGAAGUUAGUAGCACCAAACCAUUAUACAUAUAUAAUGAUGCAUUUCGACGCCUAAAUAUCAAAUAAUUUCGUUAGCACCAUCCUCAUGACUGUUAUUUGGAACUCAACUUGUGGCAAAAGAGGAGCCUUUGGCGGUGGUAACAGAGGUGGGAUAAUAGGCACCUCAGCAAUCAGCUUAGAUGGCUCCAAAGUUUGUAGAGUCGAUGAAGGUGGUGAAGAGUCAGACAUGAGUGGAUGUGGUUGCAUCGACUUCGGCUUCUUGACUCUUGGAAAAAUAGCAUAUUGAAUCCCAUUAUCGUGACAAAUAUACUUAUUUCCCUUCAUGAUUAGAAAAAGCAUUAUUUGCCUCAUGCCAUGGUCGUCCAAGUAUUAUGUCACAUCUCUUAAUAUCAACCAUGAUGAAUACAAUUUUCUUUUUGUAUUCAUCUUGCAUUGUGAGUAUGCUGAAUUUAAUAUCUUGGGAUUUGAUAAUAGUGUCAUCAUAAGACACAAGAUAAGGAGACAAACAACGACACAAUAAGAUCUAAUUUUUCUAUGUUUUCUUGAAAUAAGAUUAUGAGAAAAUUGAUGAUUAAUUUGUACUCGACAAGGAACACCAAAUCUCAUAGCAAUUUGAAAAGAACAAGUAAAAGAAAUAGAAUUCAUGUUUUGAAGGAGUUGUUUGAUUUCGGCUAAUUGUUGGUUACUUUGAACCAAGUUCAAAUUUAUUUGGUUAUUUGCGGCUUGAAGAGAUUGCAAAUCAGUUUGUAACUUUUUGAAGCGAGUGUUGGUAUAAAGCUCAAAUUUUUUAAACAUUUAACUAAGUUCUGCAUUUGUUGGUAUUUUGAAAAUUAAUUUAUUGAUCAACGUUGCUCUAAUACUAAAAUUGAUGCAAGACAAAUUAGAAAAAAACUUGCAAUUGAUGACCUUAAAAUCUGUUUAAAACCAAAUUUAGAAUUUUCUAGAAAUUUUAUAGUAAUUUCCAUUUUUUUAAAAAAAAAUUAAGAAAAUUAAGAGAAAGCUAAAGAAAAUAGCCAAUAAAUAGGAAGAAAUUAGAAAAUUUAUAGAUUUGUCUUAGAAAAUUGGAAAGGCAAAUUUAGAAGGAAAAUAUGAGAGGUAGAGGAAAGAAAAAAAGAUAAGGAAGGAAAGAGAAGAUAGAACUUUUUUAAAGAAGAAGAAUUUUGCCGGCGCACACGGUAGAGAAAGAGAGGGGAAGAAGAAGAAGAUACCUAUGGAAGAAGGUGAGACUUGUGGUGGAUAGUGGCUAUGGAUCGAUAUUCCCAAAUUAGGGUUCCUGCUCUGAUACCAUGAAAGAAGGGCAAAAAGGAUACCCUCAUGGAUUCUAUUGAUGAUGUUAUAUAGUACAAGAGAUGAGUCUAAUAUAGUAACAAUGUCUAAUAUAGUAACAAUAUAACUAGGUAUCUCAUAUCAUAUAAUCCUACUCUAAAUAUGUCGUAAUAUAUAGUAUCCUUAUAUAGCAUGAGAUAUUAAAUAUGUCGUAACACCAACCCCUAGAGGGUGUACAAGCUUGUAGGAUAAGGAAUACCCUAACAGUAGAAUCGGGGGUUUUCUUUUUGGACUGUGGUGGGUCAGCUCUUUAUUUUUGAUUGCUGAGUAUUCUUAAAUGUAUAGUUUCAGGAAGGAAAAACUGUAAGCAUACUUACUGUUUCAUUCUGUCCUGUUUAGAAGGAUACAGAGGAUGAUGAAUUUUAAUAUUUCUUCAAUUUUAGUCAUUUACAUAUUUUUUGUUAUUUUUGUUCCUUCGUUGUUUUGCACACGUGGGAGUUGGAUUGUAGCAGGGAGGGGAUGGGGAGAAACCACUUCACUUUUUUUUUGUAUGAUUGUGAAUACUUGCAUAAUAUAAUGUCUUGAUGUUCUCAUAUGAUGCUGCAUGGUGGUGUUGUGUUUACCAAUUUUCUAGGUACUAAUCUGCGGCCUUUCAAGUGAAUAAAAUUUUUCAUACGUUUUAUCAUGUUAAAGUGAAAGUAUCAUGAUCUUUAUGAGUUGCUUAGGAAUACUGAUGAUGAUCUGCUUCUGUUUUGCUUGCAGUACAAGGUGGAGCGUUUUUCUUUUUUUCAUUAUAUUCGCUUUGUUUCAUGAUUUCUUCAUAUUCAUGCUGAAUGAUAAAGAGGAAAUGUACAUAUUUUGCGGGGCAAAAUUAGGGCUUUUCUUUUCCUUGAUUAUUUCUUUGGAAUGAUACAACAAAACUACAAGAGUGAAAAUACAAUUAAAAAGUUGCCUUAACUACAUACAGGGAAAGUAUGAAGUGCAGUAUGAGCAAUCAGAAGAAUUUCAGCAGCAGUUAAAGAUAAAAGUUCGUGAAAUAUUAACUGAGCAAGAAUGGCGUCGAAGGAAAAUGCAAAUGAGGGUCUGAGCAAUCAUAUUAAUUAACUUCAUUUUGUAUCAGAUAAAAUAGUAUUCGUAUCUAAACAUGCAUAUUUAUAUAUCAAGCAGAUAUCAGAAGAGGAAGGAAGGCUGAAAAAGGAUGAAGAAGAGACAAAGGAGAUGAUGAAAAGGAAGCGUGAACAUGAGGAACAGUGGGAGGAAACAAGAGAUCGGCGAGUAUGUGCUCUAAAUCUCCUUUGUUCGUCAAACUCUUUUCCUUUUUUACUUCUGCAGAUUUACCUGCCAUAGACUCUGAAAUUUACUUACAAAUUCAAUGUGAAAUUCAGUAAUGAAUAUUUUAUUUUCUGGAAUUCAACUACAACAAUGCGCAUGCAAAAGAUUUUCUGAAGUUAUGAAUAAUAGACAUUGCCUAAUCAUUUCAAUUUGGCUGUAAAUAGUAGGCAAUUAGGCUUUAUUUUUUUUAUGUUCGUUUUUGCAAUAUGACUCUACAACCUACUGCCGGACUUUGUAUUAGAUCAUGUAAUCUAGCAGUAAUGCUUAUGUUGUCUAUUUACUACCGUCUGUAGAGACAAGUGACUUUGUUUCUUCGUCUCUCUUGGGAUCAUUCCUUCUGGUCAUACUUUAUUCUAGUUUACUGGAACUCUGCCUACAUUUUAGUUGUACAAUGGCCAAAUCCCAUGUUGUUUGGAGCAGGCUAGAUUAUUCUAUUGAUGAUGAAGGCUUUUCAUAUUGUGUUCUUUUUUUGUUUUUUGUUUUUUUUGUGUUUGUAGCUUAGUCUUCCCUGUUUGCAUCCUUUAUUUUUUCAUUAGAUGAAACUGGUAAAUUUUGUUGCAUGAGCCUGAAAUGACAGCUAGAGGUCUUUCUACUUUUCUAUUAGCUUAUAAUUCGCUUGUAAUCCAUGAGAUAUGCGUGUAGCUGAAGUUAUUAUUCUUAAUGAAGACCAGUUAUAAAAAUAUUUUGUUUUAAUUAAUGAAGUCUUUUGAGCCUAGUAUUGUGUUAUUUACUGUUUUUAUUGUUUAGGCAUAGCAGAUAUAACAACGGCCUUGACAAAUUCAAAAUUUUGCUAGAAUUAACUGAAAUGUUACAAGUAGAAGUUUCAUUUUUUAUUAAUGAUGACACAAUAUUUGUCCAUACUGCUCUUUGGAGUAUGUUUUAAAGUUAUGAUAGCAUAUUUUAAUUGUCAAUUUCACCUUUUUUUUGGAUAUUUUUCCAUAUUAAUCCCUUUUUAAAAUCUUUUAAUACUGUAUGUAAGUAUCUCAGAACAUCAAUUUACAUGAUAGUUCCUCAAAUCAAUUUUAGUUUGCAUGUCAUUCCCUCAGGUUAAAAUUAAUGGCAUCUUUAUAGAAUGUUUUCCCAUUAUGCUUUAAAUGUGUGUACGUUUCUGACACUGAACAAAUAUUAGGCCAUUUAUUCCCAAAAAGCACACAACUUUAGGCAAUGACGUCAUUCAAGCAUCACCUAAAAUCUCAAUAAUUUAUCUCCAGUAAUCUUCAGAAGAGAAAAGGUUAGCCGCAGCCAACAACGGGGUGGUCAUAGCUGAUUAAAAUUGAGAAAGUGGAGAAACUAGCUUUCUUCAAAGCGUUUACAGUUUUUUCAUAGAUUCUAGUGUAGACGAUAUACGAUUUCAGGGAACAAGAAGAAAUUUGUGGGUAAACGGAUGUUUUACCUUAUCGAGUUUUCAGUAUUGAAAAAUUUUGAUGUAAAGACUUUAUGCCUAGUGGACAGUGAUUUGAGGAGCAGUGAGUACAAUAAUUAUUGUUUCCCUAUGCUAUCAAAUUUGAAGAAGUGCUAUUUGUUACAUGUUAGUCCCUUUUCUGGUGUGGUUUGUGAGCUUCGAGGCUCAAAAAGCAGAAGCACUAGCAUGAAGUUUGUUCUUUAGCUUCAGCAAUACACCGGAGGAAUAAUAAUAACUAAAAUUCUGUUUGGGCUGCUUCAACUCUUCAAGCACUACUUAAAACAACACUUCUGCUGAUAUAGAGCUGUGCCAUGUAGGCAAGCAACAGUGACUCUGCUUUUCUAACAUGUCAUUGAUAUCAUAUUUAUUUGCAAGAAACAUAGCCUUAUCUCUUAAUUAUUGGGGCUCUGCUUUAAAAUUUCCUAGUUGUACUAUUACGAACCUUUCUCUUAAUUACUGGGGCUCUGCUUUAAAAUUUUCUAGUUGUACUAUUACGAACCUUUCUCUUAAUUACUGGGGCUUUACUAUAAGAAUUCAUUAGUUCUACUAAUACGAACACAUUUUGCUUAUAUUGAUUUCCUCUAUUCACAGGUUUCAAGCUGGAGAGAUUUUAUGAAGUCUGGGAAGAAGGUGUGGAAAUAUCAUUUUAUUUUUUUAUUAUGGUAUAUUGCAUGUUUGGUCCUCAAACUAUGAGGUGCAUGACAUUUGGUCCUCAAAUUUUAAUAUGUUAUAGUUUUUUGUUUGAACUUUAAGAAUUGUUGCAAUCAAGUCCCACAGCCUAAUUAAAUUGACUAUAUGUUGACACAUCGCUGAUAUAAAAGUGAUGUAGCAUUCUAUUUAUUAGCGCAUCAUUAAUAAUAUCAUUGCUGCAUCACUUAUAAAUUAGUGAUACAUCAACAUCCAGUCAACUAUGUUAGGUUAUAAGACUUGAUUGCAAUAAUUUUGAAAAGUCUAGUCAGAAAUUAUAAUUAUUUAAUUUAGGACCAAAAUGUCACCCGCCUUGUAGUUUGAGGACCAAAUGUGCAACUUAUCCUUUUUAUUAAAUUGACGUUGAAAAUGCAGAAAUCUCUCCUGAAACUAUGCGAUUUGUGCUUUCCCUUAUACAAAUAUCAAUCUACAUUUAACCUCGGCGUUAUUUCAGACCAUUUCUUGACGUGUUUCCAUCCAAGAAAUAUUAUACUAUAUUGUUAAUUUACCUGUUGCAAUAUUUUUGUAUCAUAUUUUAGUAAUUUUUAACUGUUUGUGAACGCUAAAUUGAAUAAAUAUGAUUGAAGGGAAUUUAUGCAAAAUAUCUAAACAGUAAGGGGGUUAAAUGCAGGUUUUUGUUUUUAUUGAGAUUGAUGCUUUAUCAUCAUGUUUUCAAAUGGGAAAGCUAAACUAAAAAUAUUUUGCUUAGCCACUAAUCUCGGUGUAGUAGUGUGCAAACUUUGACAUGAUCUCUGCGUCUUUACUAUGUUCUGUAGGGUAAGAAAGGCGAGAUAAAACCCCCGAAGCUCAAGACAGAAGAUCCGAACAAAUCUUACGUGCAAAGGCCGGUAAAGCGCGGAUGAAACCGGCACCAUUUAGGGGCCCUUCGAUCUUAUUAGAUGAGCAGCUGAAUGGUUGGUGGUGUUAGUAGCUGUGGAGCAAUUCUGCGGCCGAAAGAUAAGGUGGUUAAAAACCUCGGGCGUCCUUCGUAUCGUUUUAUUUUGUUUCUACUGCGAUUUGAAGUCUAUCAAAAUAUCUGCAGAGUAAUUCACUUGUCAUUACAAGUGGUUGGCGAAAUGUAUUUCUAUACAAAAAUCAAUCAUGUUGAUUCUGCAGGGUAAUUUGAUUCUGGAAGGUAAAGGUGGAUCUUUUUACUUGAAAAUGGCCUCAAGAUUAGCGAUCAGGAUUAGCCCGUACAUGUUUGUCCAACAAUAGUUAUUCAUCCCAAGUAUAAAAAUAAAGAAGAAAAUUGAUAUUUUUAUUUAUAUUUCUUGCUUCAAUCUCAAAACGUCGGAAUGUAAUCUCCUCGGGAGGAAGACUUUCAGGGCAACGUUUUGGUGGAAUUGAAAUGGAAAUAGGAAUAGAAAUGGAUGGAAGUGGAAUCGAAACGGAACGAUGAAAGCUUCUAAUUUGUUUGGUUCAUUCUAGAAGAAUCGAAAGCGAAAUUACAUUCCAAUUAAGAUUUUAGAAGUUAAAAUUAAAAUUACCUUCAAAUUUGCAAUUAAAAUUUUAAGUCUAAAUUCAAAUUUAAAAUUUAAAUUUACAAAUUAAGUCUAAGAUCAAAGUUAAAAUUUAAAUUGAGAACUAAGUUUUAAUUAAUAUCAAACUUGCAUUAGAAUAAAAUUUAGACUUAACAAUUUAAAACCAAGUUUUGAGUUCGUACUUCAAAUUAUUUACAAAAUUGAUAUUUAAAUUUAAAUAAUUAUUAGUGCAAAAAAGUUUUGUUAAAAUUCCUUGGGGUUCAAAGUUGAUUCCUAUUCUGGAGGUGAAUUCUUGGGGGAAGAGACGUUUUUCAUUCAGUAAAACUAAGUUGUGCUCUAAUCUGUGUCUUAUGAGUAAUUUGUGAUGAUUGUAGCUCAUGUUUUAACAGAAUUAGAGCAACACUUUAUUUCUUUACCAUGAAUGGUUCUGAACAAUAAAUUAGUUUCAAGUUUUCCAUUCGAUGGGUAAAUUGCAACACCACUUCCCAAUCUUUCAGCCAAGUUUUAACUCGGUCUUUAAACUCUUAUUUAUAAAUUAGACAUUGGACACUAACUUUUAAUAGUGUUUUAUUUUAGUUUCUGUGUUAUGAUAUUUCAUUAUAUUCAUAUGCCGUAAAGAAAGUUGAUUCAAGAAGGUUGAUAGCACUAAAAAUUUAGUACUUUUAAAAGCUUUCCAACUGGACUAUAUCUAUAUUAUAGAUGAGAUAUAUAUAUAUAUAUAUAUAUAUAUAUAUAUNCAUACUAUAGAUAGUAGAUUAAUAAUAUUCACUAUAGAUUUUUAGAUCCUUAUAUUCGUACUAGUACAAUCAUCAACAGUAAAUUCUAGAUUUUUAAGAGCUAAAAAGUCUAUAGUAAUUAUUAUUUCUUUAACAUAAGCUCAACACACACUCUCUCUCUCUCUCUCUCUCUCUCUCCCCGUGUCUCCGUACGUUCGUGUUCCUUGUGCUUUUUCUUCUUGUUCAUGCAUAUAGCUUACUUGCCGCGUCACCAAACGGCAGGUACAAAAUUAUUAAAUCCAGGUUACUCACGCUAAUAAACUUAUUCAUGUCCACCCAGCCCGUUUUUCUUCAUUUUUCAAGGUGAAACUAUUUGGGAUAUAAUUAAUGACUAGUGGACUAGUAUGAGAAGUUCGAAUUUAAGCAUUUUAGUUUGUUGUUAGGAUCAAACAGAUUGCUAAUAGUAGUGACUUUGAUUGAUUAUUACUUAACUUUGGUAGCUGAAAGUGUAAAAAUAAAUUGACCUGGGUUCUUAAACCUGUAGCAUGUAUGUCUAAAUGUUCAACUUAUCUAGUGCUUUUUGGAGUUAAGUUUGCAUUAAACUUGAAGAAAGUGGAUAGUUUUGGAACAUCACAUUCCCCAAAAGCUCCAUCUUUUAUAAAUAGUAUAGAUAUAUAUAGAUUAGGAGUUUGAGACUCCUGAAUUCCUAAAAAAAAUCUUCUAGUAAUUAUUCUUUAGGUUAGGAGGCUAGCAGAAUACUGCAAAAGAAUAAAAAAAAAAAAAAAUCAGAAUUAGUGGUCUAGUGAUGCUAUCCUAUGCUUCAACAAUUUGGGGUAGGGUUACCGACCGUCCCUAGAGCAAGUGAUAAAGGACUUGGUGGUUGGUAUUCGAGACUCAAGUUCGAAUUCUAGUUGAUUCACAUUUCUAGCUAAGUUUAUUUCUAAAUGAAAUAAACAAAACGAGUAGCGUGUUAUCUAUCUCUCAAAAAAAAAAAAAAAAUUUAGGGUAGGGUUUAAGACCAAAUAGAUUGCUAAUGCCUCUGAAUUGGGUUAUGAUUAAUUGCAAUAUUGCACAUGCACUUUCCGUUAUGCCAUAUGGAGAAGAUCUUGUGUCGCGUGCUGACGUCAUCUGGAUCCGAAGUGGCCCGCAACGCGGAGCAGCCUGUCUGUAAUUGUAUGAGUCCAGUCAUCCCCACAAACAUUCAUGAUGACGAGAGAAAGAACUUUCUUCAAGUGGUACGGGCAUCUCACCUAUCUCCAAGAAGGAGACGCAUUUGACUUUCCUCACUGUGCAGAGGUUGAAAAAGUAAAAUAAAAUAAUAAGAAAGAGUAGUGGCCGGAGUAUCUUUCUAGGGAUCUUUUGAAAAAGCACUUAAGCUUGGGUGGCGCCAAUUAUUCAGAAAAGCAAAUAUUUGGUUAAAAAGAUUUUCUUUUCUAAGAAAAUAUUAGCAUUAUCGGAGUUGCGGCCGACGAGAACAAGGCUGAGAGGCAUGCAGCGGUGAGGCGAAAGGUGAAGGUGCGGCAAAUUCGAAAGCGCUCGUGACGACGGCCCACACGAGCAUGACGAUCGGAUCAUCAUUGACGACAAUGACGAAGACGAAGGAGGAGGAAGAAAUGGAGGAUAUGAUGAAGAAAAGGAAGAAGAAGAAGAAAAAGAGAAAGACGAAGAAGAAGAAUGACAAAAUUGUCAAUUCAUAUUAUUAAUUAAUCAUAGUUAAGUAUUUUAAUUGUGGUUAACUAGAUUUCUCUAACGAAUCCCAACGAUAGGGACAUAUCUGAAUACAUUAGGACUUUUAUAGGGAUAACUUAUAAAAGUUAAGCUUUGUAGGAAUAUAUCUGCUAUUCACCUAUUUGUAGGGACCUGUACAAAAUUAACCCUAUAUAUAUUUAUCCAUAUAUAAACGUAUAGUAAAUAUUUUGCAAAAUACAAACCCUCUCUUUUUUCAUAUAGUUAGUUGCUUUAGCUGCUUUGAAAGUUUGGCCAAACUGGCAUUAACUACGCCCUAGUUCGGCCCUCUAUAUGUUAUGCAAAUAAAAUAAUUGCCGGAGAUGCUUUAAUUCUCGCUUUUAUUGAAACCUUUCAAUAGAUUUCUCCCAUCUGAGAUAUAUUCAUGUAAUUAAAUUUUUCAUGUUUAUGCUUUAUUUUUCAAUGGUUAAUUAUAUAUAGCUUUCUGUAAAUAUAGCAAAUAGCAAAUAUAUUUUUAUAAAGUUCAAAUUUUAACUCUUAACCCUACAAAAUUUCAGUAAUAUUCAUAUUUGUUCCUCUAGUUUGUUACCGUUAGAGAAUUAUUUUAUUUUUUAAUAAUAAAUAAGUAAAAUGUCAAUUUUGUCAUCACAAAUAUAUCCCUUUAAAAACCUCAAUUGCUAUAAUCGUGAAAAUAUGUUCGCCACAAAAAAAAAUUUCAAUGGUUGACUUCUUCCUAUUUAAAAUCCAAGUUAAUUCACCAUUGUUGCAACCUUUGCUUUCACUUCUAUUUUUCCAAAUCAUUUUUGUGAGCAAAUUAAAAAAAAUUAUAGAGGAAAUUGAAUGAAAAAAUAAUAUGCGUUUGACAUGGGUAAAGCAACACGUGUUGUGGAUGAAUGGGGAUGGAAAAAUUCUAGUUACGUAUUCGAAUCUAGCAUGGAGGAGAGAGAGGAAGAGGAAGAGGAAGAGUAAGUAAAAGAAGAGUUUUCAUUACUAGGACUUUGAUUGAGAGGAAAAGAUAUAAUAUAAGAGGGGUAAAAAUAUCAAUUUACUUCAUUGACUAACCAAGGUUAAGUAUUUUAUCUAUGGUUAACUAAAAUUUUCUAACAGCUUCUAACGAGGUAGGGGUAUAUUUAAAAAUAUUAAAAUUUUUAUAGGGAUAAUAUAAUAAAAUUAAACUUUGUGGGAAUAUAUUUGCUAUUCGCUAUGUUUACAAAGAGCCGUAUACAAUUAACCCUAUUUUCAAAAGUUCUAAGUUUUAUGAUUGUGCUAUCGGCUUUUCAUAUUUGCUUACAAAUAAAAUUUCCCAUCUUUCUAUAGUUCUGGAGUCAAACGUUGUCUCAUUUGACUACUACAACUAUCAUUUGUUCUCGUACAUUGCACUAACCAUGUAAUUACAAAGUUGCGAAAAGUAGAAGGAAAAUAUUUCUUAUAUAAUCGAAAAAAAGGGGCAGAACUUACGCUCUCUAUCUUACGAUUAAUAAAAACUUAAAUAAUUUUUAAUAAAAUAAAAAAAUUAAUGUGAUAAAUAAAAUAUUAAUGGUCAUAAAAUAAAGGCCAAUUUGCAUAAAAAAUCCAUUAAUUUUGAGCUUUUGCAAAACUGGACCGCCUUUUUUGAUUUUACAGAUUCCGUCCGAAUUUUCAGCAAACUGACCAAAAUACCCUUAUUACUUUUUCUCUCUCAUCUUCUUUUCUCUCAUUCAUUUUUUUUUUCUCUCGCCGAAGAAAGCAACGGACGCAGAGGUGGAGGCAGAAAUGGCCCGCCUUACCUCUCACCCUUAUGCUCACGCCCUCGCCCUUUUCCUCGCCCGCGCACCCCCUAUUUUCUUCGCCUCCAACCUUGCAGAGGCCGCGCGGCGACUUUUUCUUUUCCUCUCCGACUCUCCUCCACAGUCUCCGACGACGACGCCUCUCUUGCCCUUCCUCGCCCUUCUCGUCCUCUCCCUCUCUCUCCUCCUCUGCCGCCUCCGACGACGAUGCAUCUUCGUUGACGUCGAUACCGUGGAGGUCGCUGCGGUGCUGCAGCCUCGGAGCGGGGGGUCCUUAACGGCGUCGUCGCUGGCGCCAUGGCCGUUGACAGAGAGGGGUGACAAAAAAAAAUUAUAGAAGAAGAAAGAAAAAAAAUAAAGGAAAAAAAUUAUAGAAAAAGAGAGAUAAAGUUGAAAUUGUGCCGUUAAAAUAAAAUUUCACUGUUUUAAAAAAACGUUGCACUAUUAUAGAAAUAAGUUGCACUAUUUAAGAUGUAAAUUACAGCUUUAAGAUGAAAAUUACACUCUUUAAACAAAAAUUACAAUCUUUAGGAGAUAUUUAUACUGUUUCUCCUCUUAUUGCACUCUUUCAGAUGUAAACUGCAUCCAUUAAGAUGAAAGUUACACUCUCUAAAUGAAAGUUGCACUCUUUGAGAGAUAUUUACACUAUUUUUUCUCUUUUUGCACCUUUUGAGAUGUAAACUGCAUCUUUUAAGAGAUAUUUAUAUUGUUUCUCCUCUUGUUGCACUGUUUCUCCUUACACUAUUUUUUCUUUUAUUACACUAUUUCUCCUCUUAAAGGGUGCAGUUUAAGAGAAAAAAUAGUGUAACAAGAGGAGAAUUAGUGCAACAAGAGAAGAAAUAGUAUAAAUAUAUUUCUUAAAGGGGUGCAGUUUACAUCUCAAAGAGUGCAACAAGAGAAGAAACAGUGUAAAUAUCUCUCAAAGAGUACAACUUUUGUUUAAAGAGUAUAACUUUUAUCUUAAUGGAUGCAGUUUACAUCUAGAAGAGUGCAAUAAGAGAAGAAACAAUGUAAAUCUCUCCCAAAGAGUGUAAUUUUCGUUUAAAGAGUGCAAUUUUUAUCUUAAAACUGCAGUUUACAUCUUAAGUAGUGCAACUUAUAUCGAUAAUAGUGCAACGUUCUUUUAAAACAGUGCAAUUUUAUUUUAACGAUACAAUUUCAUCUUCAUCUUUCUUUUUCUAUAAUCUUCUAUCUUUAUUUUUUUUUUCUUGCUUAUUCUAUAAUUUUUUUUUGUCACUUCUCUCUGCCAACGGACACGGCGCCGGUGACGACGACGACGCCGCUAAGGACCCCCCGCUCCGAGGCUGAGUAGCGACCUCCACGGUGUUGGCGUCGGCGAAGAUGCGUCGUCGUCGGAGGCGAUAGCGGAGGAGGGAGAGGGAGAGGGCGAGAAGGGAGGGGAAGGGCAAAAGAGGCAUCGUCGUCGGAGACGGUGGAGGAGAGUCGGAGAGGGAAAAAAAAAAAGUCGUGGCGCGGCCUAGGCGGGGUCGGAGGCAAGGAAGGUGGGGGUGUGCGUGCGAGGGCGAGGGCGAGGGCGAGGGAGAGAGCAUGAGGGUGAGAGGCGAGGUGGGCCAUUUCCGCUUCCGUUGCCUCUUCGACGAGAGAAAAAAAAAUGAACGAGAGAAAAAAAGAGGAGAGAGAAAGAGUAAUAAGGGUAUUUUGGUCAGUUUGUUGAAAAUCUGGUCCGAAUCUACAAAAUUGGAAAAAGUGGUCAACUUUUGCAAAAGCGCAAAACUAGUAGAUUUUUUAUGCAAAUUGGCCUAAAAUAAAGUGGGUAUAAAAUAUACACUCUAUUUAACAAUACUCGGCUCGUCGACAUGGAAGAUGCCGCACCUACAGCCAAUUAAUAUUUUUAGGUAACCUACGUAACCUAGCUAGUGGGCACUUAUUGAAUUGGGAAGGACAAAAAAAAUCAACUAGGAACAAUUACUAGGUAGUAAAGGUUUUAGGCCAAUUUGCAUAAAAAAUUCACUAAUUUUGGGCUUUUGCAAAACUGGGCCGUCUUUUUUGACUUUGCAGAUUUGGUCCGAAUUUUCAGCAAACUGACCAAAAUACCCUUAUUACUUUUUCUCUCUCCUCUUUCUCUCUCCUCUACGUUUCUCUCGUUCUUUCUUUUUUUCUUUCGUCGAAAAAAAGUAGCGGAGGCAGAGGCGGAGGCAGAAAUAGUCCGCCUUGCCUCUCACCCUCAUGCUCUCGCCCUUGCCCUUGCCCUCGCCCACGCACCCCCAACCUUCCUCGCCUCCGACCCCGCCAAGGCCGCGCAGCAACUUUUUUUUUUUUGCUUUUUUCUUUUAUUUUCUUCUCCGACUCUUCUCCACCGUCUCCGACGGCGACGCCUCUCGCCCUUCCCCGCCCUUCUCAUUUCUCCAUCUCCUUCAUUUUCUGCCGCCUCCGAUGAUGAUUUAUCGUCGCCGGCGCCGACGUCGAUACCGUAGAGGUCACUGCGGCGCUACAGCCUCGGAGCGGAGGGUCCUUAGCGGCGUCGUCACCGGCGCCGUAGCUUGUUAGCAGAGAAGGUGACAAAAAAAAUUAUAGAAAAAACAGUAAAAAAAAAUAAAGAUAAAAAAUUAUAUAAAAAGAAGGAUGAAGAUGAAAUUGUAUCGUUAAUUACAAAAAAAAUUAUAAGUUGCACUAUUUAAGAUGUAACUCCUGCUUUAAGAUAAAAAUUAUACUCUUUGAACGAAAAUUACGUUUUUUGGGAGAUGUUUAUACUAUUUCUAUUCUUAUUGCACUCUUUCAGAUAUAAACUGUAAUCAUUAAGAUGAAAAUUACACUCUUUAAACGAAAGUUGCAUUGUUUUUCUCUUGUUGUACUAUUUUUUAUCUUGCAUCCUUUUAAGUAAUAUUUAUAUUAUUUUUCCUCUUGUUGUAUUGUUUUUUCUCUUGUUGCACUAUUUCUCCUCUUGUUUACACAGAAAUGGUGCAACAAGAGAAGAAACAGUGCAACAAGAGGAGAAACAAUAUAAAUAUCUCUUAAAAGGGUGCAGUUUCUCCUCUUAUUGUAUUGUUUCUCUUCUUGUUGUACUAUUUCUCCUAUUGUUUACACAGAAAUGGUGCAACAAGAGAAAAAACAGUACAACAAGAGAAGAAACAGUAAAUAUAUCUCUUAAAACAAUGCAGCUUCUCCUCUUGUUGCACUAUUUCUCCUAUUGUUUACGCAGAAAUAGUGCAUAAAGAGGAGAAACAGUAUAUAUAUCUCUUAAAACAGUGCAGUUUCUCCUCUUAUUGCACUGUUUCUCCUCUUGUUGCACUAUUUCUCUUCUUGUUUAUACAGAAAUAGCGCAACAAGAGGAGAAACAGUAUAAAUAUCUCUUAAAAUGGUACAAUUUAAGAUAAAAACAGUGUAAUAAGAGGAGAAAUGGUGCAACAAGAGGAGAAACAGUGCAACUUUCGUUUAAAGAGUGUAACUUUCAUCUUAAUGGAUGCAGUUUACAUCUGAANUUUUUCCUCUCCGACUCUCCUCUACCGUCUCCGACGACGACGCCUCUUUCUCCCUUCCCCGCCCUUCUCAUCCUCUCCCUCUCCCUCUCCCUCUCCCUCUCCCUCCUCCUCUGCCGCCUCUAACGACGACGCAUCUUCGUCGACGCCGACACCGUGGAGGUUGCUGUGGCACUGCAGCCUCAGAGCUGGGGGGUCCUUAGCGGCGUCGUCGUAGGCGCCGUGGCUGUUGGUAGAGACGGGUGACUAAAAAAAAUUAUAGAAGAAACAAAAAAAGAUAAAAAAUUAUAGAAAAGGAAGGAUGAAGAUGAAAUUGCAUCGUUAACUGCAAAAAAAAAUAUAAGUUGCUCUACUUAAGAUGUAAACUACAGCUUUAAGAUAAAAAUUACAGUUUUUAAACAAAAAUUACACUUUUUGGGAGAUAUUUACACUGUUCUCCUCUUAUUGCACUCUUUUAGAUGUAAAAUGCAUCCAUUAAGAUAGAAGUUACACUCUUUAAACGAAAGUUGCACUCUUUGAGAGAUAUUUACACUGUUUCUCCUCUUCUUAUACUUUUUGAGAUGUAAAUUGCACCCCUUUAAGAGAUAUUUAUACUGUUUCUCCUCUUGUUGCACUGUUUUUCCUCUUGUUGCACUAUUUCUCCUCUUAUUAUACUAUUUCUCCUCUUAAAAUGUGCAGUUUAAGAUAAAAAAUAGUAUAACAAGAGGAGAAAUAGUGCAACAAAAAAAAAACAGUGCAACAAGAGGAGAAACCGUAUAAAUAUCUCUUGAAGGGGUGCAGUUUAUAUAUCAAAGAAUGCAAGAAGAGGAGAAACAGUAUAAAUAUCUCUCAAAAAGUGUAACUUUCGUUUAAAGAGUAUAACUUUCAUCUUAAUGGAUGCAGUUUACAUGCAGUUUACAUCUGAAAGAGUGCAAUAAGAGGAGAAACAGUGUAAAUAUCUCUCAAAGAUCGCGUGCAACUGUCGUUUAAAGAGUAUAACUUUCAUCUUAAUGGAUGCAGUUUACAUAUGAAAGAGUGCAAUAAGAGGAGAAACAGUGUAAAUAUCUCCCAAAGAGUGUAAUUUUUGUUUAAAGAGUGUAACUUUUAUCUUAAUGGAUGCAGUUUACAUCUGAAAGAGUGCAAUAAGAAGAGAAACAGUGUAAAUAUUUUUAAAGAGUGUAAUUUUCGUUUAAAGAGUAUAAUUUUCAUCUUAAAGCUGCAAUUUACAUCUUAAGUAGUGCAACUUAUAAUUUUUUUUGCAGUCAACGAUGCAAUUUCAUUUUCAUCCUUUUUUUUCUAUAAAUUUUUAUCUUUAUUUUUUUUCUUACUUCUUCUAUAAUUUUUUUUUGGUCACCCUUCUCUGCCAACGACCACGGCGCCGGCGACGACGACGCUAAGGAGCCCCCGCUUCGACGCUCCAGUGCCGCAGUGACCUCCACGGUGUCGGCAUCGGCGCCGGCGAGGAUGCUCGUCGUCGGAGGCGGCAGAGGAGGAGGGAGAGGGAGAUAAUGAGAAGGGCGGGGAAGGGCGAGAGAGGCGUCGUCGUCGGAGACGGUGGAGGAGAGUCGGAGAGGGAAAAAAAUCCAUUACGAUGUAAACUGGCAGAGACGGGUGCAAAAGGGGCUGUUAGCGGAGGUCGCUACGGUGCUGUAGCCUCAGAGCAGGGGUUCUUAGCGGCGUUGUCGUUGGCGCUGGCAGAGAUGGGUGACAAAAAAAAAUAUAGAAGAAGUAAGAAAAAAAAAUAAAGAUAAAAAAUUAUAGAAAAAGAAAGGUAAAGAUGAAAUUGCACCGUUAAAAUAAAAUUGUACUGUUUUAAAAGAACGUUGCACUAUUAAGAUGUAAACUGUAGUUUUAAGAUGAAAAUUACACUCUUUAAACGAAAAUUACACUCUUUGGGAGAUAUUUACACUGUUUCUCCUCUUAUUGCACUCUUUCAGAUGUAAACUAUAUCCAUUAAGAUGAAGUUACACUCUUUAAACGAAAGUUGCACUCUUUCAGAGAUUUUUAUAUUAUUUCUCUUCUUCUUGCACUCUUUGAGAUGUAAACUGUGACACCCCAAUAAUCCCACAUCGGAUGGGAAUGUGGUUGUCAUUGGGUUUAUAAGAGACUUAGACACUAGUAAUAAUAACUGGGCUUAAGCAUUUUGGGCCGGUUGUUGGGCCCAACGAGUUAUUGUUGCUAGUGGGCUGGGUCGUUACAUUUGGUAUCAGAGCCGGUUCACCAGUUGGACAUGUGUGGCGAGUCUCGGCUGAGCCAGGGUCUGGAUGACGGGCUAGCGAGACGAGUCUCACAUCGCCUGGUGAUCUUGGGCUGUGUGUGUGUUUGGACUGACGAGGACGUUAGGGCCUUAACGGGGGGAGUCUGUGACACCCCAAUAAUCCCACAUCGGAUAGGAAUGGGGUUGUCAUUGGGUUUAUAAGAGACUUAGACACUAGUAAUAAUAACUGGGCUUAAACAUUUUUGGCCGGUUGUUGGGCCCAACGAGUUAUUGUUGCUAGUGGGCUGGGUCGUUACAUAAACUGUGUCUCUUUAAGAGAUAUUUAUACUGUUUCUCCUAUUAUUUCACUGUUUCUCCUCUUGUUGCACUAUUUCUCCUCUUAAAAGGUGCAGUUUAAGAGAAAAAAUAGUGUUGUUUCUCCUCUUGUUGCACUAUUUCUCCUCUUAAAGGGUGCAGUUUAAGAGAAAAAAUAGUGUAAUAAGAGAAAAAAUAGUUAAGUGGUGUAACUUUUAUUUUAAUGUAUACAGUUUACAUCUGAAAGAGUGCAAUAAGAGGAAAAACAGUGUAAAUAUCUCUCAAAGAGUGCAAUUUUUGUUUAAAGAGUGUAAUUUUCAUCUUAAAGCUACACUUUACAUUUUAAGUAGUACAACUUAUGUCCAUAAUAGUGCAACGAUUUUUUAAAACAGUAUAAUUUUCUUUUAACGGUGUAAUUUUAUCUUCAUCUAUCUUUUUCUAUAAAGUUUUAUCUUUUUUUUUUUAUGCUUCUUUUAUAAUUUUUUUGGUCACCCCUCUCUGCCAACGGCCACGGCGUCGGCGACGACGCCGCUAAGGACCCCCCGCUCCAAGGCUGCAGCGCCGCAGCGACCUCUACAGUGUCGGCGUCGGCGAAGAUGCGUCGUCGUCGGAGGCGGCAGAGGAGGAGGGAGAGGGAGAGGUGUAACACACUGGACCUGUGCGAAUUGCGAGGUUCGAGUGUUUGAUGUGGACUCAGAACUUUUCCACACUUGGUGGAAGGUCGUAGAUGGUAUUCCGACCUAAAAGUUCGAUUUCUGAAAUUUUGGCUUAGUCCUGAGAGUUUUCACUCUCGGGGACCCGUCCCUGGUGGGAGAGAUCGGUCCCCUCAGAACAGUGUUGCGGCAGACUUGAGGCAACCGGUCCCUGGCAGUGAGAGACCGGUUCCCGAACGUUGGUUUUGCGGGACGAACAGAGAGACCGGUCCCUGGCAGGGAGAGACUGGUCCCUCCCGGCGAAAACUGCCCAGACCCGGGCUAUGUGCUGUUUGGAUUGUUGAGGGACUUAUCAGGAUUUUGUUACAUUAGAAGGCUUUUAGAGCCUUUCUAUUCUCCCUUUCCCUCAUUUCUCCCAUUCACAUUCACUCUAGAGAGAGAAAGAGAAGGAGAAGAAGAAGGAGAAGGAGAGGAGCUUGCUUGGAGGCCUUGGAGCAUCAUCUUCUUCCCCUCAUUUCUCAUCUUUGGUGGCUUGGAGCUUGCAGUUGGAGCCUUGUGGAGGAUCAAACUCCAACCCUACUUGGUUUAGAGCUUGGAUUGGAGCUUCUCUUGAGGUUGGUAGCUUGUAUUUCCCAUUUAAUAUAAGUUUUUCUAGAUUUUACUAGAUGAAACCCUAGAUUUUGGGAUUUAGGAUUUAUUUUGGGGAUUUCUGAUUUGAGGGCUUUGAAACCUAAUUGAUGGGUUUAGAACCUUUAUGUAGGUUGGAUUUGAAGGGCCCUAACUUCUAUUUGGAGCUUGAGAGAGGAUUUCUUCACCUAGGUGAGUUUUUCUCCACCUUAGCCUAUGUUGCUUAUUGAUUGAGCUUAGGGUUGAUCGUAAGGUUUGUUUGACUCUUGUUCCUACAUCUUUAGGGUGACUAGGAGACUAGUGGACACCUUCUGUGGGUUUGACUUCAUGAAAUCGGGACGAAAUGGCCCCUAAGUAUUCUAUACUUGUCGUAACGUCAAUUUGAUUGCAUAUUCAUGUUAAAUGAGAUUUAUGUAAAUUUUAGAACACUUAAAAUACAUGCCUUAUGUAUCAUGAAAAUUUCACUCUAUAUGGUUGGGCCUUUGGGGCGUUUGCAUGCAUGUGAGGAGUGUUCGGGUUAGCGACUUGGAAACAUGUCUCUUGUGUUAGAAUUUGCUCAAAUUAUGCAUUUGUAAAUAAUAAACUCUUGUUUGGACUUAGUUGACAAAAUGCCAUAAAGAGGCACUUGACAUAGUAAACUAUAAAACUGCAACAUAGAGAUAUAGUGAUAGGCCAUUGAACAUCUACUAUAUUCCAUGUUAGAGACAUGAUGACAUAGAGAUAGGCCUUUGAGGCAUUCGACGUAUAUUCCAUGUUUUUAGAUAUGAGGACUUGGUACUUGAGACAGAUCUUUUGCUUGUUUGCCAUUGUGCUCAUUCGCAUAUACUUGUAAGGGUCGCUCCCUACAAGCCGGCACUCCGGAGAUAGCCAUCGCGACAUAUGCUCGCUCGUGCGGGAUUGGGCGCCGAAAUGGGAUGCCGUGGGGGAAGCUCAUUCCUAGAGUGGGGAUGUUGACUACCACGGGGCCAUUAGGCACGGCGCAGGCCGGACUACCCACGGGUAGGUCCUACAGGAUUGGAUCAUUGAUGACCUAGCAUACUCCCUGGACAUUGACUAGAAUAGUAAACAAGACAUUUUAUUAUUUAGCUUAUGGACAUCAUGCUAGUGACACUUUUGUACAUUCAUGUUAGAAUAGCCUUUAUUUACUUAUGCAAAUUCAUGCUAAGUAGAGAUAUCAUGUUGUAGUAAGUUUACAUGUUUACUUACAUAUUGAUUCUAUUGCUUUUAUUGUUACUUACCUGUUUAGCUCUUUUGGGCCUAGUGGUGCUUUCACUGAAGUCAGUAAUUGCCCACUGGGAACUAUUAUUUAAUAGUUCUCACGCCCUCUGUUUUAUGUUUCCUUUUAAGAGCCUUCGGCACUGGCGGAGGCACGGGAUCGCGGCAAGGGUGUCGCCUAGCUAGAUAGAAAGAAGCUACUAUUGAGCUUAGGUGGUUUACUCUUUCUUUUAUUGUAUUAGAGAGUGAAAGAGAGAUUUUGAGUACCUUGUAUAGAGAGACCACCUAUAUACUUGUUUAGCUUUAAUAUUUGGGAUUCCUAUUGUAUUUACUUUAUGGUUUAUUUAGUGAUUUUAGCUCUCUACUCUUCACACUGCUUUAGAUACUAGAUGUUGUAUAGUGCUCUGAUAUCUCUAGAUCUCCUUUAUUUGCUUUAUUUAUCAUUUUGUUUUAGACGCCUUAUAUGUUUCAGACAUAUGGUGGGUCUGGACACGCGCCGGGCGGGCUUCCGCUGGGUCCUGGGGCGUGACAAGAGGACAAGAAGGGCGGGGAAGGGCGAGAGAGGCGUCGUUGUCGGAGAUGGUGGAGGAGAGUCGGAGAGUGAAAAAAAAAAAGAGUCGCGGCGCGGCCUCAACGAGGUCGGAGGCGAGGAAGGUAGGGGGUGCGUGGGUGAGGGCGAGGGCGAGGGCAAGGGCGAGGGCGAGAGCUUUAGGGUGAGAGACGAGGCGGGCCGUUUCCGCCCCCGCCUCUGCCUCUGUUGCUUUCUUCGCCGAGAGAAAAAAAAAAAUGAACGAGAGAAAAAAAGAGGAGAGAGAAAGAGGAGAGAGAAAAAGUAAUAUGGUUAUUUUGGUCAGUUUGCUGAAAAAGCGGACCGAAUCUGCAAAAAUGAAAAGGGUGGCCCGCUUUUGCAAAGCCCAAAAUAAGUGGAUUUUUUAUGCAAAUUGGCCAAGGUUUUACAUAUAUAUAUAUAUAUAUAUAGUUGGGCUAGAAUAUUAUUAACAAUAUUUAUUUUUUUUUGCUAUCGAGUUUUUAGUUUUUGGAUCAAUUUCUUUGAUCAUUUCUAAUUAUUGGAUUAAAUAUUAAAAUCCAGUGCAGACCACUCAAUCCUAACCAUAGUUAGUUAAUUCGGAUUCGGCAAAAAUUCGGUACAGGUAUAAUUUGGAUAAANUUUUUUUUGCUAUCGAGUUUUUAGUUUUUGGAUCAAUUUCUUUGAUCAUUUCUAAUUAUUGGAUUAAAUAUUAAAAUCCAGUGCAGACCACUCAAUCCUAACCAUAGUUAGUUAAUUCGGAUUCGGCAAAAAUUCGGUACAGGUAUAAUUUGGAUAAAAUUCGACUUCUAAUUUUUAAAUUCGUUGAAAAAUAUGGCUAAAAAACGGAUUCGUAAAUUAUUCGGAUACGUGAUUUAUAUAGAUAUUAUACAUUCACUAAUUAAAAAUUCGGGAUAACAAAUUCGACUAUUAAAUUAAAUUUCUUUUCUCUCAAGAUUUAUGCUAUUAGUAUAAAUAUUCAUAUUUCUUAACAAUAAAAAAAUAAAGAGCUACAAAAUUAAGCUAAUUAAAAAAAAACAUAGCAAACUAUAUUAUGCCUCAAAAUAAAUAAAUAAUUAAGUAAAUAAGUGUAACACACUGGACUUUUGCAAAUUGCAAGGUUUGAGUGUUUGAUUUGUGUUUCGAGCUUUUCCACUUUUUCCGGAGGGUCGUAGACAGUGUUCCGACCUAUGGCUCGCAUCCCGAGAUUUGUGGUUUAAAACUUUGCACCAAAAUCCAAAAAGAAGGAUUUUUGGUCUGUUCUUGGUUUAGCCUCAGCAGGGCUGUGUACCGGUACAACCUUAAUGGUUGUGUCGGAACACAUUUUGUACCGGUACACCUUGAUGGUUGUACCGGUACAGAUGGCUGUUCUCCGCCAACCCGAGGCUCGGGUUUGCGCGUACAGGGUUUUGUACCGGUACACUUUCCCGUGUACCGGUACACAAUGCAGUCCGCAAACUGCUUGUUCUCGGAGGGUGUUUUUGCAAUUGUAGCCUAUCUACAAAUACCACCCACGACCCCUGGUGUUCCUUGAGCUGGAAAACAGAGAAGAUAAAGGUAGGGCAGCCCUCCUCUUCCUCUCUUUGAUUUCUAUUCUUUUAGUUGGGAUUUUUGAAGUUUAAUCACUUCAUUUUGCUCCUUUUUGCUUCUUGGUGCCUUUUCUACCAUGGUUGAAGGCUUGGAGCUUGGAUUGAGGCUUGUUGGAGGAGAGAUCUCCAACCCUUGUUGAUCUUGAGCUUAGUUUGGAGCUUCUCUUGAGGUUAGUUGCUUGUUUUCCCUCCUUAGAUCACGAUUUUCAUGAAUUUUGUAUAGAAACCCUAGAAUGAUAAACUUAAGGUUUAUUUGGGAGUUUUAGAUCUUGGGCUUUUGAAACUUGAUUUCUUGGAUUAGAGCCUUCCUCUAGGUGGCCUUGGAAGGGCUCUAGCUUUCAUUUGGAGCUUGUGAGGGGAUUUCUACACUAUAGGUGAGUUUAGGCCCUUUUGUUGAGUUGGUUAAUGUUUAACUUAUUCGUUGUUCGUAAUGUACAUGUAUCGCUCCUACUUUAACCUUUAGGGAGUUAGGAGGCUUGUGGGCACAUUUGUCGGUGCAAACGAAGGGUUGCGAGGAGACUUGGCGGGUUUGGCUUCACCAAAACGGAAUAAAUCAUCCCUAUAAUGGUUUUUACUUAUCGUAAAAUAAAAAUACAUGCAUAUUCAUGCAAGAUAGAUUAUUUGUGAAUUUUAGAAUGCUUAAAAUGCACAUGUUAUAUAUAAUGUAUUUUUGGACCUCUAUGUAGUAGAGAGUUUGCAUAUUGGGCUUGGGCCCAUGGAUAGCACCCCUAUGUGUGAAUUUGGAUUACGUUUCAUAUAGUAAAAACGAUAAGUGCAUUGCAUUCUUGGAUUUAGACUCAUACUUGAUGUAGUAAGCUAAUGUCAUAAAGAGACAUUGGGCUUGGAGUUGGUAUAGUAAGAUAAUGUCAUAAAGGGGCAUUAGGCUUCGACUAGAUUGGACUUAGCAAACUAAUGUCAUAAAGGGACAUUAGGCUUGGAAUAUGUGUGGACUUAGUAAACCUGAUGUCAUAAAGUGGCAUUAGCGUUGGAACAAGCUUUUGGCAUAGUGUGAUAUAAUGCCAUAAAGGGGCAUUGGACAUAAUGAAUGGUUAAAUCUUCACUUGGGAUAUUGGACUAGACCUAUGAGUUACUAGCGAUCAUUUCCAUAGUAGAGCCAUAAUGAUCGGAUCGUUGAGACGAUGACUUUGCUUGCUUGCCAUUUGUGCUCAUUCGCACAUGUUUGUGAGGGCCGCUCCCUACAAGCCGGCACUCCGGAGUUGGCCUUUUGCGACGCAGUUCGCGCGUGCGGGAUUGAGACGCCUGUAGGGUCGCGUGGGACAGCCUUAUUCCAGUUUGGGAUGACGUGCUACCACAGGCAGCUAGGCGGCGAGGCGCCUGUAGGGUCGUGUGGGACAGUCCCGUUUCUCAAGGGGGAAUGUUGGUACUACCACCGGCAGCUAGGCGGUACAAGCUGGACUACCUUAUGUAAGUCCUUAAUUGGAAAUGGAAAUCGACAUGGAGCCGUUUAUGUAAUAAUCACUAUUUGAUAAUAUAUCGUAGUUGGAUUCGGUGGAUAUUGGGACAUAUAGUGUACUUGGUCACUAUGAUAGUGCAUACUAGAUAUGUUUUGGACACUUGGACAUGGAGUAUAUUUGAUAGUGUUGCUUGUUGCAUCAUAGUAUACUUGGUAGCCAUGAUAGAGCAUACUUGUUAUGUAUUGGUAUUUUGGAUUCAUAAUAGUUUAGAUGUUCAUCAUGUUGACAUCAUCUUAUAUUGUGGUAUUGUAGUAUAGCAUUUAUUAUAUGCUUUCUUUUCCGCAGUUACUUAUUAUUACCCUUACCUGCUUAUGUUUUGGGUCUAGUGGUGCAUUUUGCUCAAGUCAGUAAUUACCCACUGGGAAUUAUAAAUUAUAGUUCUCACGCCCCCUCUUUUAUAUUUUCUUUCAGAGCCUUCCACUCCGGGAGAGGCUCGGGAUCGCGGGAAAGGUUUCGCCUCAAGUUAGCUAUCGAGGGAUUUGGUUAUAGGUGGUCCACCUCUCUUUUGUUUUCUUUUGGAGAGGUUGUGAGAGUUUUGUACCUGGUUAUAGAGACCACCCUACUUUUGUAUCUUGAGAUUUAUGAUGUAUUAGUUUACUUUAUACUUUAGUGGUUUUAGUUCUCUUUCGACUCUACUUGUUGAUAGAAACUAGCUGUAUAUUUGCUUUGAUAUCUCUAGAUAUUUUCUAUUUCUUGUUCAUUUAUUCGCUUUUAGUCUAGACGCCUUAUAUGUGCAGGCAUAUGGUGGGUCUGGGCACACACCGGGCGGGCCUACACCGGGUCCCAGGGCGUGACAAUAAGAGAUUAAGAUAGCCCAUAGAGAUUAAAUCUUUUUGAUCAAGUGAUUUUUUUUUUUUCGGGGGGGCUUUGUUUUGGGAGAGGGAAAGUGGGGAACAGGUUUUUUUUUUUUUUUUUUUUUUUUUUUUUUUUUUUUUUCUAUUUUGGGCGAGCCGCCAGCGCUAGCGCUAGCGCUCGCGCUCGCGAGUGAGCCGCGAGGCUCGUGACCCGCACGCGAGCGCGCAUUUUUUUGGCCGAAUAAUUCGGCCCGCCCGAGUUAUUCGCGAAUAAGUAUUUUUUAUCAAAAAAAUACGUUUUUCUUCGAUUUGUUUGGAAAAAUAUGAAUACAACCGUUUAAUUCGUUUCUUCAAAAAUUCGCGAAUAAUUCGCGAAUUAACUAACUAUGAUUCUAACAGGACCACUUAACCCCAAGGGACUAAUAUCAUGCUAAUCUUACAAUUUCUUAUUCAAGGGUUAAAAAGUUGAUAGCAAAAAGAGCCAAAUACUAUCAAUAGUAUUCCAGCCCAAUUAUAUAUAUAUAUAGAGUAAGGUUACUGUACUAUUAAGAGUAUAGUAGUCUUUAUACUCGUAAGUUUCUAACCAUCCAUCAAUUUUGAUGGGUGGUUAGGAUGAGAGAGAAAAGUGAAAUUUGGGAGAUAUUUAAAAGAAGAAAAGGAGAUUCACCUUCCGAUCCCACGUUAAGUAACCGAUAUUUUUCCUUCCUUCUAGGGUAAACUCUCCCUAACCUUUUUUCAAGCCUCUCUCUAUAUCUUUCUCUCUCUCUUUCUCUCUCAAUCCUUUCUAUAAUAUAUAUAUAUAUAUAUAGUAUAUAUAUAAUAUAUAUAUAUACUAUAUAUAUAAUAUAUACAGUACAUAUAUAUCUGCAUGUUGUUUGAAUUCUACUUAAAUUUAAUAAAUAAUUUAUAUAAUAUUUAAAUACUAAUUUAUUUAAUAUUAUAAGUACAAAUAAUGAUUAUUACUACAGUUCAAAUUAAUAAUUUUACAUAAAAAUAAUUUUUUAUGAUAGUUAAGUAUAUAGGUGGUUUAUGAUAAUUUACUUAAUUUAAUUAUGAGAUAUUAAUAAUUUUAGAAUUAAACUUUGAAAUAACGAAGUAUGUUUAUCCAAAUAAAGUGUAGAAGUAAAUUGUAUCCAGCAAUCCUAGAAUAACCAAUAAUAGCAAGCGUUCAAACAGAAUAUUUUAUUCUGGCCUAAAAAUAUGUUAUUGGCAGAGCAAUAGAUGAUUAUGAUUUUUAUUAUUCUUUGCUCUAUCUCUCAAAGCCAAAUGGGCUUAGAAUUUAAUUCCAGUAUGGAAAAAAUGUAUAAAGAUCUCAUGAUCUUUAGGGUUGCGUUUGGUUCGCGCUAUCUUUAAAGAUUCAUAGUAAUUCAUAGGAAUAAAAAAAUAUGACGGUUUUAGCUAAACGCACUAAGUAAUCUAUGUUCGUAAUAUUGGAUUCACUUGGGAAAUAGAUUCACCCCAAAGUACUAAUCUCAUUCCCUUGGAGGAGGAUGGGUAUCCUCAUAUUAAUGGAUUUGGUAAUUUAUAAAAUGUCUAAUCUCUUCUUUCUCGCUACCCGCCGGCUAAUGAUAUUAUUUUUCUUUACACUCUAAUCUCAUAUCUCUCUCUAAACUAUCUUUCUCUCUAAAAUUUACCUUUUUUCUCUCUCUAAACUAAGUUUUUCUCUCUCUUUCAAUCUCAACUCUCUUACUCCUAAAUUUCGACUCUAUAUCUUUUUCUAUUUUUUAAUUAUGUUCUCUCUCUCUCUCUCUAAAUUAUGCCUCUUUCGCCUCUUUUUUCUAAAAAGAUGUUGAAACUUUUAGUAGCAUUAUCUAAAAUUAAUUAAAAAAUAAAUAAAUUAAUUGUAUAUUUUUUGUAAUAUUAAAUAACAUGGCUAAAUAAUAUUACCGUGCGAACCAAACACAGGAAUUCCACAUUCUUAGUAAUAGGAUGAAUAGGAAUAAGAUUCUCGGACAUCUUUUCAUUCCUAGUAAUCUUUCAUAAUGCGAACCAAACGCACCCUUAACUCUUUUGUAAACAAGCGUCUAAACUUUCUAUUUUGGCAAUUAAUCCUCUUAAACUUUAUCAAAUAGCUCAAUAGACAUCUUUCUUUAAUUAACGUUAUUCAUUACACGACAUAUAGUUUUAUAGAACUUCAAAAUAUUAAGUUUUUAUUAUUCUAACCUAUGAAAAAAAAUGGAUAAAAGUUGAAGUUUGGUUCAACAUAUUUUCCAGUUGUCAUGCUUAAGGCUAAAUUACAUAAAACCUAUCCAUCAAAACCCGAUUUUUUACUUUUCCCCCCAUCAUUUAAAAACCUACACUUUGUCCCCUUGUAAAAUAAAAAAUGUUCACAGGGGGUACGGUGUGAACUGUGAUGAUAAAAUGACUAUUUUGCCCUUCACCAUGUUCCCAGGAGAAAAGGCAAAGGGCAUUUUUGGCAUAAAAGAAAAUAUAAUAAUAUUUUAUAAACGGAACCCUAACGGAUUACUAACGGCAGGGGGCUAAGUGAAUAUUUUUUAUUUUACAAGGAGGCAAAGUGUAGGUUUUUAAAUGACAUGAGGGAAAAGUGAAAAAUAGGGUUUUGAUAGGAGGGUUUUAUGUAAUUUAGCCGAUGCUUAAUUAUAAAAAUUGAAAAAAAAAGAUUUCUUUAACUUUUAAAGUCUUAUAUCAUUAUUCAUACGACAUAUGAUUAAAAUGACUGUGUAAUUAGUAAUUCUCUUAAGAAGAGGAGUCUAUUAAACUAUUUAAUAAAGUUUAGAAAAUAUAAUUAUCAAAAUUGCAAAUUUAGACACAUAGUUGCGAAAGAGCUAUAGUUUAGGAUGUUUCUAUACAUUUUACCCUUCCAAUAUUUAGUGGUUAUCACUGAUCGUCCCUGGUGCAAGUGGCAAAGGGUUUGGUAGUUAGUACCCAAGAUGCCAAAUUUAAAUCCUAAUUCACUACAAAACAAACGGUCUAUAGCGACACUUUUAAAUGUAGGUACAUGUUAAAAAAGUGCUGCUAGCUAAAAUUACCGACACUUUUAAAAAGUGUUGCUAUAUGUGGGGUCGCUCGGUAUAUAGUGACAGUUAAAGUGUGUCGCUGUAAGGACUGAGAUUUUUUUUACAGUGCUACUAAACUCUCUGUUGAUGAUGUUUAUGUGUGUAAUUUAAUUACAUAAGCACUCGUCAAGUUUCAGGAGAAACUGAGCUAAAACGGAGAAGUUACGCGAUUAUUAGUUUUCACUUAAGUGAAUAGUAACUCCGGUUUUGCAGCCUAAAAGCUAGGCUGUCGUGGUAACGCAAGCCGUGCAGCCCACGUAGCUUAGAUCGUAAAGCGAAGCAGGCUAAACUGGGGGCUAAGUGCUGCUUUAGGCAGGCGAGAGGUUAAAGUUUUUGGUAUGUGUAUAUAGUUACACAUUUGGGCGAUUUAGGAAAUUAAGUUUAAGUUUAAACUUAGAGGAUGGUGAUCAACCAUGUAGAUUGUAGGGAGUGGAAUGAGAUCCAGUGUAUGUGUCUAGUGCUCCCCACAGUAUUACGUUCUUAUCGCUUCUUGCUUUUGGGAGUAAAACUAUUUUGAGGAAAAAGAGCUUUUGGUACGUAGCCUAGACUUUAGGCAGUCACGGUAACCAAGGUCUUAUCGACUAGGCUAGCUUUGCUCGAUAACCUGGCCAUACUUGCCUCAGGCCAUGCGCGGCUAUCGGUCGAGAUGAGGCACCGAAGUGGCUNNNNNNNNNNNNNNNNNNNNNNNNNNNNNNNNNNNNNNNNNNNNNNNNNNNNNNNNNNNNNNNNNNNNNNNNNNNNNNNNNNNNNNNNNNNNNNNNNNNNNNNNNNNNNNNNNNNNNNNNNNNNNNNNNNNNNNNNNNNNNNNNNNNNNNNNNNNNNNNNNNNNNNNNNNNNNNNNNNNNNNNNNNNNNNNNNNNNNNNNNNNNNNNNNNNNNNNNNNNNNNNNNNNNNNNNNNNNNNNNNNNNNNNNNNNNNNNNNNNNNNNNNNNNNNNNNNNNNNNNNNNNNNNNNNNNNNNNNNNNNNNNNNNNNNNNNNNNNNNNNNNNNNNNNNNNNNNNNNNNNNNNNNNNNNNNNNNNNNNNNNNNNNNNNNNNNNNNNNNNNNNNNNNNNNNNNNNNNNNNNNNNNNNNNNNNNNNNNNNNNNNNNNNNNNNNNNNNNNNNNNNNNNNNNNNNNNNNNNNNNNNNNNNNNNNNNNNNNNNNNNNNNNNNNNNNNNNNNNNNNNNNNNNNNNNNNNNNNNNNNNNNNNNNNNNNNNNNNNNNNNNNNNNNNNNNNNNNNNNNNNNNNNNNNNNNNNNNNNNNNNNNNNNNNNNNNNNNNNNNNNNNNNNNNNNNNNNNNNNNNNNNNNNNNNNNNNNNNNNNNNNNNNNNNNNNNNNNNNNNNNNNNNNNNNNNNNNNNNNNNNNNNNNNNNNNNNNNNNNNNNNNNNNNNNNNNNNNNNNNNNNNNNNNNNNNNNNNNNNNNNNNNNNNNNNNNNNNNNNNNNNNNNNNNNNNNNNNNNNNNNNNNNNNNNNNNNNNNNNNNNNNNNNNNNNNNNNNNNNNNNNNNNNNNNNNNNNNNNNNNNNNNNNNNNNNNNNNNNNNNNNNNNNNNNNNNNNNNNNNNNNNNNNNNNNNNNNNNNNNNNNNNNNNNNNNNNNNNNNNNNNNNNNNNNNNNNNNNNNNNNNNNNNNNNNNNNNNNNNNNNNNNNNNNNNNNNNNNNNNNNNNNNNNNNNNNNNNNNNNNNNNNNNNNNNNNNNNNNNNNNNNNNNNNNNNNNNNNNNNNNNNNNNNNNNNNNNNNNNNNNNNNNNNNNNNNNNNNNNNNNNNNNNNNNNNNNNNNNNNNNNNNNNNNNNNNNNNNNNNNNNNNNNNNNNNNNNNNNNNNNNNNNNNNNNNNNNNNNNNNNNNNNNNNNNNNNNNNNNNNNNNNNNNNNNNNNNNNNNNNNNNNNNNNNNNNNNNNNNNNNNNNNNNNNNNNNNNNNNNNNNNNNNNNNNNNNNNNNNNNNNNNNNNNNNNNNNNNNNNNNNNNNNNNNNNNNNNNNNNNNNNNNNNNNNNNNNNNNNNNNNNNNNNNNNNNNNNNNNNNNNNNNNNNNNNNNNNNNNNNNNNNNNNNNNNNNNNNNNNNNNNNNNNNNNNNNNNNNNNNNNNNNNNNNNNNNNNNNNNNNNNNNNNNNNNNNNNNNNNNNNNNNNNNNNNNNNNNNNNNNNNNNNNNNNNNNNNNNNNNNNNNNNNNNNNNNNNNNNNNNNNNNNNNNNNNNNNNNNNNNNNNNNNNNNNNNNNNNNNNNNNNNNGAGACCUAUCAGUAUGUGUCUCAGCAGAACUUAGAAGUCCUCGGUUUGCGUGUACGGGCUAUGUUAUCACCCAAUUUACAUGAAAUAUUGGGAUUUUAUGUAAAUUCAGGGGCUUUUGUGCAAUUGUGCACUUUGGGGCUACUGUGGACAGUGUGUGUGAGUGUGUUUGACCUCUGGACUGAUUGUCCAUGAUCCGUUAGCUUUUGCAGAAAUUGAAGAGUCGAUUUCGAUGCGUUUUUCGGCGAAUUCGCCGAAAGAACGCGGUUUCACUUCGAAUUUCUUCCGACGUCGUUUGGUUGCUCUGUGAGUGGUCGCUAAGCCUUGUUGGCUGGUCACCAUCAUCACUUUGUGGGUUCGGUGAUGACGGGUGAGCGACGGUGGCUUCCGGUGUCGAAUUUGACACUUCCGGGAACCCGUAUUCGUACAAUUAUCCGGCGAUAAUCGUGUCGCGGUGUUUAUCUUAUGUUCGCUGCCAAAAUAUCCAAAUUGGAGUGUUUUAUGGUAGCAGGUGACUUGUAGCAUGGGUCGGUGCGUUUCGGGACAUUUCAGUGGUCCCGACGGAGUCCCGGUGCGAUUUUCGGGACUUCCGGCGAGUUACGGUAGUCGGUUUUGGGAAACUGAUCUUCGUGGGUUUGUUUGAGGGAUUAUGAUGUAGUGUUUCUUAGUUGUGGGUUAGACACUAACCCAGUGGAUCCUCCUUAGGUCCUGUUGACGUUCUUUUGCAGUCAGGUGACAGGCGCGACAGUUGUACAGGUGGGUACUUCGAUGCGACGUCGGUACAGUGGUGCACGUUCGGUGAUGGUUUCUUACCCUUGCUCCUUUGUUAUUAUCCAUGCAUACGUUAUAUAUUGAGCUUUGCACCUCUGUUGUUUACGUUACACCCACGUUGUUUGAUUAUACUCUACUCGUUGUUUGCAUGCUUAGUAUCCUGAGUAGGAGUAGAGUAGUUCUAUCCGCAUCCGUAUCGGUUGACCUAGUUGGUCUGUUGAGCAUCCAUAUCUGUUGACCUAGUUGGUCUGUUCUGCAUUCCUCUACUCAGUUAGUUCCAUAUUGAUAUCAUGCUUAGGAGUAGAGUUGACUUAUCGGUUCACUAUAUCUGUGAUUUGGUUGGGCGGUUCCCUUAUUUUGAUAUCUAUGACCUAUUCGGUCGAGUUGCUACAGUUCUAUCUAUAUCUGUGAUUUGGUUGGGCGGUUCCCCUAUUUUGAUAUGUAUGACCUAUUCGGUCGAGUUGCUAUAGUUCUAUCUUGACGUAACCGAUUAGUUGCUGAUGGCCUAUACGGUCGGUGAGCCCCAAGGGGCUGGAUUGUCGGCUAGUUGCCGAUGGAUGAUCUUUGAGCAUACUACAUUGAUCGCCACUGCAGGUACGCAUUUCACGAACACCAGCGGUCUGAUCCACCGCAAGAGGGUGUUCUUUUCCGGAAAAGUGGUUGGAUUGCCAACCCGUGAGCGCAGGGGCUUUAUUGCGAGGGUAUAUGCUUCUGAUCCAGGGGCUUCAUUGCGAGGGUCAGGUACUGUGCUUCUGACCCAGGGGGUUCAUUGCGAGGGUCAGGUACAGGUUGAGCAGUGUGGCAUGGGCCUGAGGUCUUCGGACCAAUAAGGUAGCGAGAUUGGGUACUUUUGAGCUUAUCGUCAGUUGACGCAUGCAUACAGUAGCUGUAGUGUUUAUUUUCAGUACAUCCUUAUCUGUUUAUUGCAGCUACUGUUUUAUUUACCUGCAUCUAUACUUGUCAGCUCCUUACUUAUCAGCAUCUUUACUUACCAGCACUUAUGUCUAUCUAGUUCUCCGUGUUGUUGUAUAGCUCUCUUCCUGAUCCGGUGAGUACUCCUCGCCUUCAUCGGCUUGCGGUACCCACUGGGAGGGGAGAUAUGUUUACAUGUUCUCACCUCCCCUACUAUUUUUCAGGUAUCGCGGGCGACGAGUAGUGGGACGAGACGUGAGGUACGUGGGUAGCGGUCGAUAGAGCUUCCGCUAUCUAGUUCUCCGUGUUGUUGUAUAGCUCUCUUUCUGGUGUCGACCCUAUCGAGCCUGUUUGGCUGCUGUUUUUGGGUUUGCGCACGCUUAUCCGGCGAUCUGAGGCUGUCCUGAUGCCUCCGGAGGUGAGCACGGUGAUCGUGGGUCAGUGCAGAUCACAGUGCUCACCUCACUUUGGAUCAACAGUGUCCGGUUAGCCCUGUUUGGCGCAAUCUUCCCCCACUGCGCGCUGUUUGCUGAACCUUCGGGUUGCUCCCGCGCUUCCCACAGUGACCUGUUGCGCUCCAGACCGUGAGCACGGCCUCCGGUACGUCGAGACCUAUCAGUAUGUGUCUCAGCAGAACUUAGAAGUCCUCGGUUUGCGUGUACGGGCUAUGUUAUCACCCAAUUUACAUGAAAUAUUGGGAUUUUAUGUAAAUUCAGGGGCUUUUGUGCAAUUGUGCACUUUGGGGCUACUGUGGACAGUGUGUGUGAGUGUGUUUGACCUCUGGACUGAUUGUCCAUGAUCCGUUAGCUUUUGGAGAAAUUGAAGAGUCGAUUUCGAUGCGUUUUUCGGCGAAUUCGCCGAAAGAACGCGGUUUCGAUUCGAAUUUCUUCCGACGUCGUUUGGUUGCUCUGUGAGUGGUCGCUAAGCCUUGUUGGCUGGUCACCAUCAUCACUUUGUGGGUUCGGUGAUGACGGGUGAGCGACGGUGGGUUCCGGUGUCGAAUUUGACACUUCCGGGAACCCGUAUUCGUACAAUUAUCCGGCGAUAAUCGUGUCGCGGUGUUUAUCUUAUGUUUGCUGCCAAAACAUCCAAAUUUGAGUGUUUUAUGGUAACAGGUGACUUGUAGCAUGGGUCGGUGCGUUUCGGGACAUUUCAGUGGAUCCUCCUUAGGUCCUGUUGACGUUCUUUUGCAGUCAGGUGACAGGCGCGACAGUUGUACAGGUGGGUACUUCGAUGCGACGUCGGUACAGUGGUGCACGUUCGGCGAUGGUUUCUUACCCUUGCUCCUUUGUUAUUAUAUAUGCAUACGUUAUAUAUUGAGCUUUGCACCUCUGUUGUUUACGUUACACCCACGUUGUUUGAUUAUACUCUACUCGUUGUUUGCAUGCUUAGUAUCCUGAGUAGGAGUAGAGUAGUUCUAUCCGCAUCCGUAUCGGUUGACCUAGUUGGUCUGUUGAGCAUCCGUAUCUGUUGACCUAGUUGGUCUGUUCUGCAUUCCUCUACUCAGUUAGUUCCAUAUUGAUAUCAUGCUUAGGAGUAGAGUCGACUUAUCGAUUCACUAUAUCUGUGAUUUGGUUGGGCGGUUCCCUUAUUUUGAUAUCUAUGACCUAUUCGGUCGAGUUGCUACAGUUCUAUCUAUAUCUGUGAUUUGGUUGGGCGGUUCCCCUAUUUUGAUAUGUAUGACCUAUUCGGUCGAGUUGCUACAGUUCUAUCUUGACGUAACCGAUUAGUUGCUGAUGGCCUAUACGGUCGGUGAGCCCCAAGGGGCUGGAUUGUCGGCUAGUUGCCGAUGGAUGAUCUUUGAGCAUACUACAUUGAUUGCCACUGCAGGUACGCAUUUCACGAACACCAGCGGUCUGAUCCACCGCAAGAGGGUGUUCUUUUCCGGAAAAGUGGUUGGAUUGCCAACCCGUGAGCCCAGGGGCUUUAUUGCGAGGGUAUAUGCUUCUGACCCAGGGGCUUCAUUGCGAGGGUCAGGUACUGUGCUUCUGACCCAGGGGCUUCAUUGCGAGGGUCAGGUACAGGUUGAGCAGUGUGGCAUGGGCCUGAGGUCUUCGGACCAAUAGGGUAGCGAGAUUGGGUACUUUUGAGCUGAUCGUUAGUUGACGCAUGCAUACAGUAGCUGUAGUGUUUAUUUUCAGUACAUCCUUAUUUGUUUAUUGCAGCUACUGUUUUAUUUACCUGCAUCUAUACUUGUCAGCUCCUUACUUAUCAGCAUCUUUACUUUCCAGCACUUAUGUCUAUCUAGUUCUCCGUGUUGUUGUAUAGCUCUCUUCCUGAUCCGGUGAGUACUCCUCGACUUCUUCGGCUUGCGGUACCCACUGGGAGGGGAGACAUGUUUACAUGUUCUCACCUCCCCCACCAUUUUUCAGGUAUCGCGGGCGGUGAGGGUUGAGACGAGGCGUGAGGUACGCGUGUAGCGGUCGAUAGAGCUUCCGACCCAGGUUAUUUCGGUUUAGUUUCUUACCCUUCUUACUUCGGUUGAUGUAUAGUUUAGUUGGUUCAUGUGGUUCAGUGUUUAUUUACAUUUGAAAAUGUGGAUUUCUGGAUUUUGUAAAAUAAAAGGUUUUCUACCCCUCGUGGUAGCGUUUUUAAAGAAUAAAGGUUUCCGUGUAGGAAACAGUUUUCAAAAGAAUUUUUCGUGGAUUUCUAUUUAAACAUUGAAUGUAAAACUGUGAUGUGAAUGGUGAAUGUAUGAAUGUAUAGGUAUCUUUAUAUUCAUUUGGUUGUGGUUGUUUCCUGGCU
rnacentral:lncRNA from 1 species